CAGCUGAGGUGGCUCGGGCAUCUGGUUAGGACGCCUUCUGGACGCCUCCCGUUAGAGGUGUUCCAGACAUGUCCCACCGGGUGGAGACCUCGUGGCCGGCCCAGGACCAGAUGGAGGGAUUAUAUCUCUCACCUGGCCUGGGAGCGCCUGGGAAUCCCCCCGGAGGAGCUGGUGGAAGGGGUUGGGGUGAGGGCUGUUUGGGCUUCCCUCCUGAAGCUGCUGCCGGGAGCUGAGAAUGACGUCACUAGUUACCUGAGUGACCAGUGUUUCAGUUACGGAGUCGGAAAAAAGCAAAAACUGAGGCAGAAACAAGAUGGCUACAUCUACGAAAGUUAUUUCAGCGCUUGCCUCGGAUAUUCGGAUAGGGCAAUCGCUAAAAUAACUUUCGUAGAUGUAGGUAUCUUGUUUCUCCGAUGGAUUUUCAUUUUUUCCAACUCGGUAAAUGAAACAAUGGUAACUCGGGUGUGACGUCAUUUUCAGCUCCGACAUCUGACCUCCGAGGUAACUUGAAUGCAGCGGACAUCAGCUACCCUGCUGAAACUGGGUUUUUGGGGUCAACUAAAGUCUUAUUUUAGUUUUCUUUCUUUUUCUUCUAUAAGAUGAGAUUACUAAGCGUAUACUCCACUUGCAUCUGCCCCAAACCAAUAGUGCUGUACCUGCUCGGUUCAGUGAAUACACUCCCAGUGAGUCUGAUCAUGAGAGGAAGAUUUCAACGUCUAUAACGUUUUUAGAAAAGUUGAAGACAGAUUUGUUUUUAAAGCUGUCAUGACAUUUCUGAUUUGUGCUGCUGGGUUUAAAAAUCAGAUGUUAAUUGAUGAGGGUCGUUAAAAUCCCAUUUCAGCAAAUUGUUAAACUCCAUCCUGAGAGGUGGAGGUCAGGUGGAGGGCCGCGGUGACCCGGUGAUCUCAGCAGCGUUUUGUCGCUCUGAUAAUGGAAGGUGGUUCUCCAGGAAACUCAGAGGGAGUCCACCAGUCUGGUACAAGGGGGGGUAGCUGGAGCCAGGCCGGGGCGUGGAGCAGAGCGGUGCAGCGGAGGAUAGGGUGGGUGGGUGGGAAAUGCAUUGGCGUGUGGAAGCGAGGAGGAGGUGGAAGAGUGGGAGGAGGAGGAGGAGGGACGGGCGUUAAAAGAGGCAGGCGAGGAGCGUGAGGGAAGGACGGGGAAGUGAGAACAGGAAACGCUGGUCGGAGUGGAAUGUUUCACAAGAAGGCUUCUCCGCCCUGCGAGCGUCAGGACGAGGGCGUCUGCUGCUCAGACAGCCACCAGCCAUCCUCACACACACACACACACGUACACACACACACACACAUUCUCCACAGUGUGACCCCUCACCGCUUUGGCAGGGUUAGCUUUUAUAUCCUGUGAGCAGAGGAGUCACUGCCUGGACUGAGCAGCUCUGUGUGACUGCAGGACAGAGAGAGAGAGAGAGAGAGAGAGAGAGAGAGAGAGAGAGAGAGAGAGAGAGAGAGAGGGGUGUACUGGAGCUGGUUUUCCUCUGACACCUCUGAAGGGAAGAGGAAGAGGAAAGGGGGAGGAUGAAGAGGAAAGGAGGAGCAGAGAGGAGAGGGACUCACAGGGCAGGGAUGAUGGGGUGGAGUGCUGCACCGCUGGGGUCCUUUAAAGGAGUCACUGCGUGUUUACUGGAAAUACAAAAGCAACAUUUGUAGCAUCACAGCCAGGUUAUAAAUUUUAAUGUGCGUUUGCUCGUUAAUAUGGAAGAUGCCGAAAAAAAGGCUGUUUUAGCAGUUCUGCUGGCGUGCAUCUCCACCUGUAGUUCUAAACAUUUCAAGUAGCUGUUCAAAAAGUACAGAUUUUUAUGUUAAUGGUUAGAUUUUCUGUUUUGAUUUUUGGACGGGAAUAUCCCAAUUGGUAACGGAAAAGUCUUUCCUUUGCAUUUAAUGGAAGGCCAUGUUCAAAUCAGAGCUGGAGUUUUAAUUUUAGUUAUGAUUUUAGCUCCUCACAAUCAUAAAAAACUGCUUAUCACGACUGUAUGAUAUUGUGCAGCCCACUUUGUCUUGCUCGUUUUGCCUUUUAUAGUGAAUCAGGUGCUUUUUGUCCUUAAAGGGAUAUUCCAGCGCAAAGUUAAUUUAGGGUCAAACACACUGUAACACCGAGUUACACAACCCCUCGAGAGAUGAAUGUUGUUGACCGCUUGCUUCUCUAGUUAUACCAACUUUAGUCAUGACCGCACGAUAGCAAUACACAGUGGUCUGAGUAGCCACACACAAACCUCAACCAAACGCCACUCUAUAACCAAAAAUAAUGCUCAGAACAGCACCUAACUUCAUCAACAGUACAUAUAGGGUCCCAGCCAUAGUACUAGCCACCAAACAGCUUUUUAACUUUGCCUAAUUUCUUUCAUAAAGAGACUAAACACAACUCACCUACUCUAUUCCAGCAGCCGCUUGUUUGUAGCAAGACCUCAGGUAAAUCCAUUACGGACUGUUGCGGGGGGAAGAACAUUUAUGAUCAUUUCUUCGUGGAAAUGUAAUCAGACCAAGACGCUGCAAAAUGAUUAAUAUGGUGAUUAUUGCGUCAAGGAAAUGAUAAAGAAAUGAUCAUAAAUGUUUUUCCUUGAGCUGUGUCACCCCGCUGUAGUCCGUAAUGGACUGGCCCGAGGUCUUGCUACAAACAAGCGGCUGCUGGAAGAGAGUAGGUGAGUUGUGUUUAGUCUCUUCGCUAAAGAAAUUAGGCAAAGUUAAAAAGAUGUUUGGUGACUAGUGCUGUGGCUGGGACCCUAUAUGUAAUGUUGAUGAAGUUAGGUGCUGUUCUGAGUAUUAUAUGCGGCUAUAAAGUGGCGUUUUGGUUGAAGUUUGUUUAUGGCUCCUCAGACCGCUGUGUAUUGCUAUCGUGCGGUCGUUACUAAAGUUGGUAUAACUAGAGAAGCAAGGGAUCGGCAACAUUCAUCUCUCUAACUGGGGCUGUCUAACUCUGUGUUACGGUGUGUUUGACCCUAAAUUAAUUUUACGCUGGAAUAUCCCUUUAAAAACAGAGUGUGUUCUCAGCCCUUCCCCUAAAACGGGUCUUACUUUCAGUCCAUCGUCAUGAGGUCAGAUCGAUGUGCAUCAAAGUUUGAACUCUCAAGGGAGUUGCAGACUUAAUAACAGACUGCUGUAUCUUCAGUGAGUUGUGCUGCAGCUGCAAGUGGACAGAGGAGAGCAGGAGUUGCUCAUGUGUGUAUGUGUAUGUCUGAAAAGUCAAAAACAGAAACAAAACAGAGAAAUGGUUCUGAAGAUAUAAACAUUCAAGUAAAGGCGAAGAAUGUGGCGCAUGUCCACAAAUCAAAUAUGUGAAGUCUGAAAUAUAAAGAUCAUGGCGACAUACACAAAUAGAGGCUGUAAUUUAUGUAAGAAAUGUUCUGAAUUUAUCUAAAAUGGGAGGUAUAACGUCACAUAUCUUGACCCCAUAGUUUAACCAUUGCAUCACGUUUAAAGUAUUUGUGUGUGAUGUAAUCAGAGACACUUGCAUAAGUGAUGGAAAAUUCAAACAGCACCUAAACGCAUCACUGCUCCAGCUGCUCUGGAUGUCUCAGCAGGCUCAGAGGUGCCGAGGUAUCCCUGAGAGUGUGUAUGUGGAUUUGUGUGUGUGUGUGUGUGUGUGGAUUUGUGUGUGCAUAUUACCCUGUGAUAACCCUUAGUCUCACACACACACACACACUCGUACUGACACGGUGGUUCACACGUUACUGCAGGGCAUUGGAGAGAGAUAAGACACAGAGUCAUGCCUCCCCAGCGUGACAGUGACAUCACAGUUGUAUCUGUGUGUUCACUACCCCAGCACACACACACAUACACACACACACACCUCCCCCUGUGUGCUAGAAAGAGACCAGCCUAAUAUAGUCAGCAUGGAUCACACACACACACUUAGACACACUUCCUCACAGGGCCAGAAGCAAAGGGGAUAAGGUGGGGGGAUCCGCCUGUCAUAUUUCCAUCUCCUGUCCUUGGUUGGUUAUAAGCAUGUGUUCCUCCAGAGCCGAGUGUGUGUGUGUGUGUGUGUGUGUGUGCGUAUGUGGGUGUGUGUGAAUGGGAUGACGUCGCUGUUACGUCUGUUGGUGUCCAUCACUGGCUCAGAGUCCAGUCUUGGCAGAGACAGGUGCAUCCAUGGCUGCCUGUGUGUGUAUGUGCGUGCGUACGGGUUGGUUUUUGUAGCCUAUUUGGGACAUGUCCAGUGUUGGACUUUGCUGGGACUAAUUGUCCUCUAGGGGACCCACUCUGUCCUGGAAAGGCUUUCUCUGAUGUUCUGGCCCUGCUUCCUGUUUAAAGAUAUUGUGUGUAUAAGUCGGUGUGUUGCUGUAUCAGAUGGUUUUUGUUAACUUAUCGUCUCAGAGCUCUGCUUGUGGGGAUCUCGAACCUGUUUUUGGUGCAUCACAGGGACCAUUUCUAAAACAAAAACCCUUCGUAUGGGGACCACUACUUUUUGUAGUGACACACUUGUUAUAAAUGCUGCAAAAAGUUGUUUCUGAUGUUUUUGUUUCACCACCUAGUUUGUGUGUGUAUGUGGAAUCAUUUUUGUUACGUCACAGGGACCUUUUCUCAUAUAAAAGCCUUAUUUAUGGGGACUACUUUGUCUUGUAAUCACACAUCUGUUACAAACACUGCUAAGUGUAAAUCUCAUUUUGUUUUGUGUGUGUGUUUAUGUUUAUUAGAUUGUUCCUGCUGCCUUAUGGGGACCUUGACAAAUAUCAAAACACUACUUGUGGGGACCACUAUUUCUUUAGGACACAAGUUGGCUGCAAUUGCCUCAGAAUGUUAAAUUUGACGUUCCCAUGUUGCCUUAUUUUCGUCGAGUGUGUGUGUGUGUGUGUGUGUGUGUGUGUGUGUGUGUGUGUGUGUGUGUGUGUGUGUUUCUUUUGGUUGUUUUUAUGAACUUAUAAGGACCACUUUUUUUUUUAGGGACAACUUGUUACAAAAGUCUUUGCUGAUAUCUCAAUUUUGCUUCAUUUUGUUAGCCCGCAUGCUAACUUUGUGAGUUUAAUGUAUAUGUUUGUGAGAGUGCUUUGCUUGCAUCAGGGAGGCUUUGUUCAACAUUAAAACUCCACUAAUAGGAACCGCUGAAGUUAAAUCUGGCAAGCAAUAUGUGAUCAAUGUCAUGUUGUGUAGCAGCCAUUGCUGUGUUAGGGACUCCCUGAUGUUAGACAGCUACUGAUGAAGAUACCUUGUUGAAAAGAUCUAAACACAUUUUUAGAGUUAUUCAAUUAGAUAGCUUUCAGAGAGAUUGAGAAAAGAAAAGGCCUGACCUGCCCUAUAUUUUUGCCCAAAUGCCAGGUAAAUGCAUUCUUAAUCUACCUUGCUAGUCUCAUGAACCUGUUAACAACUGUGUCUAUCAUCACAGACUAGUUGCACCAGCAAAUAUAUUUUUUAUGUUAUUUUUUAUUUAGCUUAUACAUUUUUAAAUCAUUCAGUUGCUACCACAACUGAGUAAUUUUAACAAAGCUAAGCUUGUCAACAAACUCGCCAGCUGGUAAAAUAACGCGAUACAAGAUUGUUUCAUCAAUUUUCUGGUGAUCAAAAAUAAAUUGAAAUCAACAGGUCACUUAGUAAUUGGCUUUUUUUGUUGUGCAAAGUUAACAAGGUUCUUUUAAUUGCUACCAACACUGUUGUCACAAAUAAAACUGUACAAAAAGUAAACACUAAUCACUCCUGAGCGCAAAGUACGUUCAAAACACUGAGAUUUUGAAGUAGGUGCCACUGCAGCAAAGCUUGUAACAUUGGUUUAUAGUGGUGAAUCUGUCACAUAUGCUUAAAAAAGUCAUUUGUUCAGGUCCUGCUUUUUGGUAUUUAAGUGUAGGAUGUGUUUUGUCUCAUAAAGACGCUUACAUCCAUGCAGAAACAUUGUAUAUGUACAGAAUUAUGGUCCUUACGGGGACCUGCCCACUACAAUCAGUAACAGUGAAAUUUACACAAACACCCCCGCUGGCUGUCCUUUACAUUCUUUCUCUUUCCUGUUUGAAUUCUUCGACUUUAUCUCUUCAGAUUCUUCUCCUCUCUCUCUCUCUCUCUCUCUCUCUCUCUCUCUCUCUCUCUCUGUCACUAGCAGCUCUGGUCAGCCAUUAAACUCCCUCUUAAGCCAAACCAGCAGAAUUCCCAGGCUGCUCGGCUGCCCGGGUUCACACCUUUUUGUCCACAGGAAUCUCAGGAAUCCCCAGCUUCCUUUUCCACCGCAAUCUCCAUUGUGUGUGUGUGUGUGUGUGUGUAAAGCUAUAAGAAGCAAAGGCCCCCGCCUGUGUUGUGUGUGUGUGUGUGUGUGUGUGUGUGUGUGUGUGUGUGUGUGUGUGUGUGUGUGUGUGUGUGUGUGUGUGAAAACACAUCUCCGCCCUUGUACCCACCCAGUUUGUGUCCACAAUAGUGUGAGUCACACUCAAAAACGACAAAAAACUCUCUGUUACUGUGAAACUUUACACUCUCAGACAAACUUGAGUGGACAUUUAGGGUCACAGUGAAAUUGAAGAACACAGAUUUUGUAAAUGAACUUUUGAGUCAGUAAAUACAAACAUAUACAUAUAUAUAUUUUACGUUGACACCAUGUUUUUCUUAUAACAGGCAAAAGUUUCGGGAGGUAACAUUAGCUUGUUAGUACAGGCAUUAAAAGCGUGGGAUACAUCUUAACAAAGAAAUCCAUUAGAGGGAUUUGAGUGAAUGAAAUGGGAUUAGUUUUAUAAAAAUACAAUAUAGAAAUAUUUUUAAAACUGUCAAUGACAAACGGAGUAAUGUGAUCCUGAAAAAUUGUGUUUGCGUGAAAAAAAAAUGACACUUGUAUUACAAAAAUAAGCAUAAAAUGAGGCGUUUAUAGAAUAUGAACAUAUCAAUUAAAAUGAUGAAAGCUUAAUUGUCACUUUUGAUGGAUUUUAACUUGCAGCAGAAAGUGUUAAGGUUCAAUUAAUGAGGAAUACAAAUACGUACAAACUCUGACAUUUUUGUUAUGACAAUAAAUAUUUGAGAGUCAGUUUUUGAAAGUCAUAGUUAUGCUACAUCCAGCUCACUAGCAGCUACUGCUUCUUCAUCAUCUUAACUAUGUCUAAUGAUGUGGCAACCAGCAUGAAGGAGAGAGAGACAAUAUCAUAGUAGAGUGAUAUGAUAUGAUAUAGAACAAAACCCAUGGUCUAAGAUGAUGAUAACACCAAUCACACAAUGAUACAUCACAAAAUCUGAUGAGCCUGAUAACAAAACAUGUCCGAAAAAAAUGAAGUUCACGUUUAAUGCCGUUUGCGUCACCAUGACAAGUCAUAAAGUUAGAUGAAGUGAGUCAUUCCAACAUCUACACAAAGAUGUAUUGUUUUUAAAGUGUCCAUAUUUGACUUCAGUGAUACACAGACUAUAUAUUUUUCUUUCCCUUAUUUUCUGGUCUAAAAUUUGUAAAGGCAAUCCUGCAGCCCUGUUUUCUUAACAUGAAAUUACCCUCAUUGUCAAGCAAAAUAUAUGAAUCUUAGUUCCAGUGAGUCAUUGUUCCUGGCUAAGAGAGAGCAGCUGAGUAAAAAGAAUAAUCUGUCUGAUUUUGGCAGGGAGGAGUCAAAUGAACCAAAAUAGCUCCAGACAAAAAAUUAUUUGUUUUCAGAGUUCUCACAGAGAAACCUCUAAUGAGAGGUGAUACUACGCCCAUCCAGACAAGAGUCAGUGCUCUUACAGUGUGACGCCUGCAGGUUAACACUGCCGUUUGUCCGCACGUCUGGAGUCGUUUACCCUCGCCAGCCCUGACUCAUCCCCCACCGGAGCCCAGCCUGCUGUCGGGGCUCAGCAGCACCCAUUCAACACGAUGAGAAACAUUCAGAAAAACCAAACACCAACCGGACACACGACAGGCUGUGAUUCACACACACCCACUCAAUCUCCAUCCACACAUAAGCAGCCACAGAGGCGUACAGGUCCAUGUCUGAAAUGUUGUUGAAGAGGCCAGCCAGGAGGUGAUCUAAGACAGAGGUUUAAACAUAACAUCAGGAGGAAAGGGAUGGUUCUCAAAGUGAGAAACAAAAACAAAACAAAUAUCUGCUGCAAGUUUGGGACUUUCUCUUAUCUUUCUCAGGGGAAACACAAGUCAGUUUUUUAUUUACCCUUAUAACAACUAUCCAAACAAUCUAAUUGAAGUUGUUGUGAAAAUUUGCUUAAAACUUUUAUGACUUUUAGGCGUUUUAUGACAUGUAACCUUUAACAGACAGAUCUCACAAAAAGCUCAUAUAAAACAUAAAUGGGGAGAAAUACAACAGCUAAAAAGAAAGAGAAUUAAAAGGAAAAUACUCAUUAAAAGUUGCAUCAUAGUAAAAAAAAUUACCUCACUUUGAAAAUUUGUCUGAAACUACGAGGGUGAUGUAUUACUCAAGUAAAACAUUAGCAAAGAAAAGGGCGUUUUUCACUGUAAAGUAGGUCGUUGUAUAAAAAAUACUUUCUAUUUCACAAGUAGAGAAUACAAAGUAAAAUGUAUAACACUGAAAUGAAAAUGAAAGUAAGAGAUUUUCAAAGGAUUAAUAGAUAUUUAAAAGCUUCGAUGAAAAAGAAAAGAGGACUUCGAUGAAAAAAUUGAGCAUAAGAUAAAAGGUAAAGAAAUGAACAAGCAUGGAAAAUUAAGAUGUUAAAAUUCAAGAAAAAGAAGUCUGAAAAGUCAUGAAAAGAAAUUUAUAGUUGGCCGAUAUCAGUUUUAAUGGUUGGUGCCAAUAAUGAAAGAGCAGAUCAGCUGGUGUCUGAUAUAUUCUAUAUCACAUUGUUGUUGUUGUUGUUUUCCAUUUCCAACAAUUUAAUAAGUCUAACAAAUAGUAAACAAAAUCAUAGUUACAUUACAGUAUCUGUUAUUGAUGUGAUAUGAUGUGAUUUGAGAAAGAAAAUUAUCAUUUUGAAAAGAUUAUUGUUCCAUUGGUCUUGUAGUGUUGUUACUUCAAAAUGUUAUUAAUCAUACUAAUUAAUUAGCAGACUAAUUGAUCAGUCCAUCUCUAUUGUGUGUUUCAGUAUCAUCAGCAUGUAUCAGUAUGUUGCAAUCAGAAAUAAUUAGUGGGAGGUUGUCAAUGAAAACUGAAAAAAAGAAGUGGUUUUAAGGUGGAGACAUGAGGCACACCCCUCAGAUAAGCUAAUCAGAUUUUUGACUUUUCACAACAACACUUUGCUUUCUGUUGUGUAAAUAAGAAUCAAAUCAUGGCAAUGCAUGCUGGGAAAAAUGUAUAGUGCAAAGUUUGUCCAAAAGUAGAUAUUGGGCCACCAUCUGAAACAUGAACAACCCUCUGCUUUGUCUCCAAAAGUAUUAACCCAACUGUUUUGAGCAGCACAACAACUGCAGUGAGAGUCACUCCUUGUUUAGAUAUUGCUUCAUAUUCAGGCGCCUAAAACAUCGUCAACCUCUGACCCACAGAGAUUGUCUCGUAGGGUUAACAAUAUAGAAUCAAAGGGAGUCUGCAGUAUUUAGGUCGAAUAUUACUCAACCCUGUUCGUUACAUGACUCACUGAAGUUAUUUAAAUAGUUAUGAAUGGAGCCUGACAAAGCCGCUCCUCCCCUUGUAUGUGUGUGCAUGUUUGCACACCACAAUGUGUGUAACGGGAGCGUAGCAUGGGUGCAGCCCGGCUUUUGAUGAGUCACAUGUGGAUCCUCUGUGAGUAACUAACCAGCUAUGUGAGUCCUGAAGUUUCAGACCCACACAGAAAACCCCUGGUCUCAGAGGGAGGGGGAGGGGCAGGGCAGGGUGGGGCGGCUCUGGACUGUUGAUGGGUGUGGUCUGCAGGAGUGGUGAGGCAGAGAAUAGAUGUGGGGUAAAAUAGCAGGAUGUAGGUGAGGACCGGGAUCUGUGAGUGGAAGGUGGAGGACGGGAUGGUGAGGGCAGAGUAAGGUCAGGAUUAGGGGAAAGAGGUCAUCGCUCAGGGUCAAAAAAUGGUAAUGACUACAUUUUACCUCACCCUGUUAUCUCCCUCUAAAUCUGUUUUUUAAUUUGAGGAGUUUUGUGUCUGUACACUCAGGUACUUUCUUUGAAUAACUCUGGUCACUGCAGAAUAACAUGUUUAUCAGCUUCUGCAUAUCAGUCAGUUUUGGUAAAUUUUGGUACUUUCUCUUUCUGUGGUCACACUCAGCUCUCUGACUCCAGAGGUGUCAAAAGUCCAAACUUUCUUUACCUAUAAACAAAAACAAACUUUUACACAAAAACACAGUGGCAAAAAAGGUACUGUUUAACUUUUGGUUCAACAAAACUCACUGAUAAUGAAUUUGUCAAAGUAACUUUGCAAGUCUGAUAUUGUUUCUAACACUUACCUAAACAUAGAAGGACAUAUAAGUAAUUUUAAAAGUAUUAUAGCCAAGCCUAACAAAACUACAGCUAGAUAUUGAUUCGAGAUUAUCACCUGCAUAAAAAUGUUGAGGUUAGCAUUAAGAAUUGACAAAUGUAUAAUUUUAAAGGUUUAGAUGGUUUAAAAAAAAAGGAAUUCAUUCUUUUGUUUUUUCAAGAAACUUAAAUUUGAUACUGGGAGUUUGGGGUUAAAAGUUAAGAGAAAAACACCAGAAUAUCUACCAAAAUAAAAAUAAAAAAAUUGCAAGUAGCCGCUUUUAAGUAAAGUGCAAUACAAAUACAAUAAUAAACAAUACAAAAGACACAUUACAUGACAAUAUAAGAUGACACAAAACAAUUCAUAAAUAUAUAGUAAAAUAAAAUAAAUCUCAAGAAAAAACAUUGCCUUUAGAUACAAAUCAAAAUAAAAUAACACACCGUAAUGAAAAAAGGUGAUACAGAGUGAUUCCAAAUCAAAACAAAACAUUUCAAAAGGAUACUAAACAACACAAAAUGAUAUAAUAUUAUACAAUUACAAAAUUAACAGUACAAUCAAAAGUAAUAUAAAAUGAUGCAUCAUAUUAAUAUACGAUAUAACGUUAAACACAUAAUAUCAUGUAGUUCAAUGCAAGCCAGUACAAAACAAUAUAGUUGAAAUGAUAUAUUUAAAUUUACAUUACAAUACAAUUUAUCUAUUUAUGUAAUAUGAGAAUUAUGCCGAUUGGCAUGGCAUUAUAUCUUAACAAUAAUUAUAACAAACUAAAUGCACAAGAGUUUAAAGCACGGUAAAACUGCAUAUAUAAUUGUUGUGUGUGUGUGUGUAUGAAUAUAUAUAAAUAAAUAAAUAAAUAAAUAUAUAUAUAUAUGUGUGUGUGUGUGUGUGUAUAUAUAUAUAUAUAUAUAUAUAUAUAUAUAUAUAUAUAUAUAUAUAUAUAUAUUUGUAUAAUUUUGCUGUAAAGUGAUAAAUGUAAACAAAUAUAAUGGAAUUCAUGAAAAAUUUGUCAAGUAUAAAAAUGAGGGUCAGUGUUCAGACUUUUUGGUUACUCAGCCCCCUCCUUGACAGCAUCCUACUCUUUUAUCAUGAUUAUAAAUGCAGUAUUCCUGUAAACCAGUGCAAAAAAUGCAUGAUGUUAGUUCCUACAUUUAGUGGGUAUUUGUGCAUCUGGUUCUGGACAACAACAUAAUGUAUAUUAAGAGAGAAGGCUGGGACUUAAUUAUAGCUUAGUUUGGACUGAAAACGAAAUAUGAAACAGGACUACUUUAGCUUUUAUCUUUUGCAGGUGAUUUUCUGAAACAAGCAUAAGAUGCUCUUAUAUAUUUAUUUGUGUGGGGUGUGUAAACUAUGUGUGUGUCAGUGUGUGUGUGCUGCCAGUGGGGCUGGAAGUCAUAAAGCACCCUCUACUGUGGCCGCUGUGUGUGUUUUCAGUGUGGGGGGGCGGCCGUCCCUGCCUCCUUUCCCUUUUUUAAGAAGCUGGGACCCUUUUUUCUACAGACGCCCCGACUCUCUGGCCAGGGGGAGUUUCCUGCUUUUGAAGACACACACACACACGCUCAGAGAGAGAGAGAGAGAGGGAGGCUGCCCUUACUUUUUCCUCCUCCUCCUCUCCCCCUCCCUCUCUCCUCCUCUCUUUUUCUGAAUGGAUGUCCUCUCUCUAACCUCAAUUGAGCGCUGUGUAACAGGACACUGCCCUCUGCCGCAACAGGCUCAGCCCCCUCUUUAACACUAUAAGAGAGUGCGGCGGCGCUCCCGAGAGCGUGUGUGAGGGAAAGUAUGUCCGACAGUGUCAGUCUGAGGGAGAGAAGGAGGGAGGGAGGGUGAGGGAAAAAGAGAGAGAGAGAGAGAGAGAAACAUGUGAUAGCGUAACUUUGGCGGGGCUUGUUGGGAGUUUAACGGCUGUGGUGUCUCCAGAGCUCUGGGAAAGCACCUUUAGCCCAGAGGGAGCCUCACACACACUCACACACACACACACUCAGACACACACUCAGCCUCUGUCAGUGUGUGUGUGUGAGAAACUGUGUGUGUUUAGAGCUGCUGUUACUGAUUACACUCUGAAGAAUGCAGCAGCAGGAGGAGGAAAAAGAGAGGAGAGACAUGAAAAGAUGAGAUCUUUUAGGAUUUUUUUUUUUGCGUGUGACUUGCUCUCCCAGCCGUGGACAGUGACGUGGGUGAGAAGUUGUUACCCAAUCGCGUCUCUCCCCUUUUCUCUCUCCCUUUUUUUCACUCAAGCAAAGUUAAAGAGAGAGGGGAAGCCGAAGGGAAAGGACACCCAGCAAAGUCAGACCGGUGAGCGUGAGGAGGGGGGGAUCCCUCAUUCCUGAGCCGGGAGGAAACUCACCCAGACGGGUAAGUAAAGAGGAAAAAAAGGGAGAGAGUGUGUGAUAGAGGGGGGCAAUGCUCCCAGAGAGUUGAUGGAUAUCAUAUGUUAGAUGUUAAAGCUUAGGAAACUGCUCCCAGAUCAGUUUGGGAGCAGGAAACGCAGUCAGCUGAGCGUGUUUGUGAAAGUUUGAGCGUCAGGAUGAUCUUUACUCCAUGAGCCGGUGGGUGUCACGCUGUGGGAGUUUGGGGUAGCGUUACCUCACAGAAGAGCUGAUUCACUGUUACAUAGCCGGCUUGUGUGUGUGUGUGUGUGUGUGGAUCACACACUCUUUGAGGGGCUUAUUACAGUUCAAGGAUUAACUGAGAGGAACAAUGUAUGCUAUCUGUGCGUAAAAAUAGGUCUAAUCUGCAGUUUUUUUCUUCACUUCCUCCCUGUCACGCUGUUUUCUCCCCCCCCCCCUCUCGUGCUCUGACACAGAUAGCACAGUCCACUCUUGCAGCUCAGCAGCAGAGGGCAUGAAUGAACGGGGUGGAGGGUGAGGGAGGUGAUGAGGAAGGAGGAAGGAGAGGGGGGUGGAUGCAUGUAGUAUCAUACAGCACGGACAGCGCAGUGUGGCUUCUUUAUGAAUGGACGUGGCAGCCGCGUGAUGUGAUUGGCUGAGAGCAGAGUGACGAGUCAUGACUGCAAGAGCCCGAGUGUGUGGAUUCAUUUUAAAGAGAGCGUGUGUGUGUGUGUUUCAGGGGGGAAAAUGUGUGUGUUAGUGGGACACAGAGAGAGUGUUUUUGUGUGAUUCAGUCCUGGUGGUUCUGGGUUACAUGUGUUUGUCUAAAGGGGGCUUAGUCACUGGCUCAACAGUGGGGUGUGUGUCUUAAAAUCUGGACUUUUAAAAGCGGUGGCGGUCUGCCCGGCUGUUGUUCCUCUUCAGAUGAGCUCCCACUCGCUCCCACUCGCUCUGACUAAGACCACGCUCGCUCCAGCUCUCAUUACUCUUACUCACUUGUCAUGUAAUCAGAGGGCAGGUCUCCAGACUUCAUGCAGUAAUAUCACUGCUGAAUCACUCGCUGAACUCGUGAAACUGUAAUGUCUUCUGCGUGACAUUUACUUUUUUGGAUUUCCGUUCAAUAAUUUAAGGGAAAAGUGGACACCAAAAUUAUCUGUAAUCACCUCUAACUCUCAAAGAGAUCCAGGGACUGAGUGUGUCAAAGUACAAGUGUGUAUAUCACCAGUAAUAGUCACUUAUUACAAAUAAUAAAACACAUGCGAAACUUUUUUAUGCAAUAAUAAAGUAAAACAGAAAUUAAUUUUUGUUACUAAAUCAUGAAAAACAAGUGAUUCAUCCAUUCAGAAAUGAUGCCAAGUGCUUCUCUGGUGAGAUCUGAUGUUUGAAGAAUGAAUGAAAAUUAAGUUAUUUUUCUCUCAUUUCUCAUUUCUCUGAACUGAUUAGUCACUGCAUGACUUUUUAAUUUUUGCAUGUCGCAUUAUUUACUUUGCACAUGUAAACACCUGAGUUAGAGAAUGACAGUUUGCAACUUUUAUAGCAGCUUAUUUGAUGGUUCAAGUCAUGAAACUGAAUUAAAAAAAAACAUUAAAAGUUCAUAGAAGAAUGAGUUUUCCACCUCUCUCUUUUCUUUAUCUUCCAUACUUACUGAGGGUAUUUUAAGUGUUUUUAGUUGGGUUGUAUUUAAGAGAGGUUCAUUUAGGACAAGUUGCUGCAUUACUUUUUAUUUUUGAACAAGUUGAAUUAUUUGAAAUACUUUAAAGUCAAUAAUUGUGUACAUGUAAACACCUGUGUUGCAGAAUGACAGUUUGCAACUUAAAGCAACUUUUAUAGGAGCUUAUUUGAUGGUUCAAGUCAUGAAACUGAAUUUAAAAAACAAAAGUUCAUAUGAGAAUGAGUUUUCCACCUCUCUCUUUUCUUUGUCUUUAUUUACUUUUACUGUACUUACUGAGGGUAUUUUAAGGUUGUAUUUAAAAGAGGUUGUUCAGUUAGGACAAGUUGCUGCAUGACUUUUUAUUUUUGCACAAGUUGAAUUAUUUUGAAUACUUUAAAGUCAAUAAUUGUGUACAUGUAAACACCUGCAUUGCAGAAUAAGAAUUUGUGAGUUGAAUGGAACUUUUAAAGUGGAUUUUAGUAAUGUUAAAAAUUAUCAAACAGGGUAGAGUUAUUGAAAAAAAAUUAACUGAGAGUGAUAAGAUAUCUUGGCAGUCUUUUAUUGCACUUAAAGUAUUUUAACUGAUUUCAGUGGUGUUGUGAUUAAGGGAUGUUGUUAUUUAUCUAAUGUCUACUCACAUGUUGAUGCAGGACUUUUUAUUUAGAGUCAACAAUUUUGCACGUUAACAGAUAAGCAGAAAAAUGACGGUUUUCAGGUUGAAUCUUUUUUUGUAAAAGUUAAAAUUGUUGUACAGAAUGAAACACAUUUAAAGAUUUAUACAAGACUGAUCAUGUUUUAGCCGAAACAUUUUUGCCUUUACUUGGUGGGAUAGCUUCAGAGGGAAAUAAGACGCCCAGGUGGUACUUUUUAACUUUCCUUUAAGUAUUUUAAAGAUUUUAGUAGGACUGUUUUUGAGAAAGGUUGUUUUAAGUGUUUAAACGGUUUUAUUUUAAAACAACCAAAUUGAGAAACAAAUUGCCUCUUUUUUUUCAAAUUGCUGAUUCUACUACCAAGUUAAAAUCAUAAAUUAUGAACCAUAAUUACUCAGAAGUGUAGUGUGCAGUGGCAAUAUGAAAUAAAAGUCCAUCUGUCUGUUUGAAUAAGUGUUUUUGUUUUGUAAAAUUUGAAUUAUCCUUUUGCACCCUCACGCUUCUGCAGCUGCACAGAAUGGACAUAUAGUGACAUUCAUGUUUUUAUAUUGAGUGAAUUACAGUGUGAAUUGCACUGGUUGGGAGAUGAAGAAAAAGGUUGUUGUUGUGCACAAAAUAACUCGCACUGAUCAACAUUUUUGAUCAUAAAAAUUUGUCUUCAAAGGCCACUGUAGCUUCACUGAUGAAAGUGGUGAGCAAGGGAGCAUCUCACUCUCGAAGAUCACUAAAUAUUCACGUCUGUUCACUGUUUUUUAAGAGUCAUGGUAAUUUUGCAGAGUUACUGAGGUAUUUCAGUAUUUCAUUCACUUUUGUCAAAUUCUUUUUAUCAAGCUUGAACAUAUAAAAGGACUUCUUUGCGUAUUUUUCUUUGUAUAAUUCAAGUUUCAAGUCAGCUGAAGCACAGGGGUUCUGUUGCUCUCAUUAUUUCUUCUGUUUAGCACCAAAACCUCAAGAAUAAUUCCGCUUUUCUGUAAACAACUUUGCAGCAAACCUCAGUCUGUUCUGACAUCGUUACACAUGGUGGUUUGAGGGUCACGAUAAUCGUAUGGUUCCUAAAGAAGUGCAGUACUGUUUGACUCUUUUAGCAGCUCUUCCUUCACAUUUUUACAGAAAUACUGUAAAUUUUAUUGUUUCUUUUCCUGUCAAUUUUCCUGCUCACUUGCAACUACAUUUAUGUUUCUUCUUGUGUCACUAUUCUGCAUUAAAACACUGGAAAUGUUCAUGUUGUGUGAACCAGCUUCACAACAAGACUCAAACCACAGGACUCAAGACUCUUAAGAAUAUUGUAUUCUUACUAUGAUAUUGUAUUUAUGUAUAUUUAAGGCAGUCUUUAUAUCUCAUAAUUGAUCAAAGUGAAGAUUACAGUUUAAGUUUAUCUAUUUGUAUUUUAUGUCCCAAAACUAGUGAUGAUGUUAGUUCAGGCAGGCCAGGAAAACUAGUUAACCCACCUUAAACCUGGCGCUUAGCUGCUACUCUCUAUCUCAAGCUUUGGCAUUUCCUGUAUGCAUGUAGGCAGCUGUACAUGGGGGUCUUUGCUGCUGCUCUCUCUGCCUCAGGUUUUGGUUCUUCAGACCUCCAUGCUUAACACGCAUGCACAGCUGGAUCUGUUUCCUUGUUUUACUGCCACUGAAUGACAGCCGCUCCUUUAACUCCACCAAAGUUUACUGCAGUUUCACGUGGAACACUUUCUUCUUCACUGCUAGAAACUCCAGCAUAAUGGUAGUUUAUGGCUCUAGUGUGUGUCUAAAUGUGUUAGUGUGUGUCUGUGUGAGUGAGGAGUUGUGAUAAGGUGCGUAACUGUCACAUCAUAGCGCAGAGGAUCUAUCAGCUCUUAUCGGGCGGCGUUUCCGGCUGAGUUUGAGAUAGGAGGACGGAUUGGCGGUGAGAUGCAUCGCAGGUAUCUUGAUGAGGGUGGAGAUUAAAUUCCCAGGUGGAGAUUAGCUGGAAUCUGCCCCCUUGCCUUAUCAACCUGCCGACACAGAAUGAACUCUGACCCCGCAGCCUGCUUGGCAGGAAGUAGAGUUGACCUCGAUCCAGGUUCCAAUUACACUUCCGGGACAAAAAUCAUGCGUUUGUGAAACACGUGAACCAUUCCUUUAAAAUCUAAUCAUAACUAUGAGAAAGUUUACACAGGUGACAUGAGUUUAUGAAACACUUAUUUGAAAGAGUGCUUCAUUCCCUUUUUGAAGGAUCACAUUUUAUUGAAUAAGGACACAAUAACUGGAUUUUUAUGUACUUUUAAAAAUGGAGCAUUAGAAUGAAGUCGAAAACUUAUCGAGAAAAUCCAACAUCGAGCAUGAUUUCGUGAUUAUUUCCUAACUACAUUUACCCAAAAACCUACUUAAUUUUAAAUUUUUGCAAUGACUGAUGCUUUGUUUUAUUUCAUUUAAUUAAUUUUUUAAAUGCUUAUUUGUUCCUGUAGUUUAGGAACUUUUUCAGCUUACUCCCUGCGAUAGAGAACUUUUUCUAGCCUCUCAUAACUUUUCUUUCAGACUUAUCAUCGAAGUAUUUUUUAACACAAGGCAUUCUACAGAGUCUGUAUAAAGAUCGGUGGAUGAACAGAUGAUUCAGUGAGGUGGGACAGAUUACAGGGACACAAGUCACCACACUGACUGAACCUCAUUCUCUGCUCUGAAUGAAGCACACACACAGAAACACACACACUCACACACACUUGGGCUGCAGUAAGUCAGGCGUUGGGUAAAGUUUCUUAAAGUGGGUUAAGCGGCACAAGAAGGAUCUUAACCAUCACUUGACUCAUUCCUUCUUUUCUUUGCCCGACUUUCCUUUUCACAUGACUCGUCUUUGUUUAUCCAGCAACAAGUCACUCUCACAAGUCCGUCAUUCAGCGGCAGAUUGUGCAGUUAAGAGCUUAGCCGCAUAACUCAGAUGUCACAGGGCUGAAAGCAGUUUGGUUCAGCCCGUUAAUGUGUGUGCGUCCUCUGUGUGUGCGUGUGUCUGUGUACUCAGGAACACUCGUUCCAACGGUGUGCUAACCACACACACCUGGCCUGUUUCCUCCCAUGCUCAUAUAUGGGCAAAGCUUCCCCUACCUGGGCCCCACUCUGGAUUCCAAUAAGUGGCAGUAUGUGUGUGUGUGAGCGUGCGUGAAAGAGGCUGUGGAGACGGAUGCACGUCAUGGAAAACCAGGAUCAAUGGGCACGGCCGCAGAGCUGCGUUUUUAAGGUGUUCCUUUUGUUUUCCAAAGGUAAUCAGUGAACACAAUGACUCAGCCGGGCCGAGGCGGGCUGACUAUUCAGAGUGUCCGCAGCAAGACGACGUCAGAGAGAUGCAGCCGUCAUAUAACUAUUAUAGGAGAUAAUCCAAAUAUGAAGCAGGUACAAGAAACUCCCUAUAGAUCAGAUUUUAGAUCAAGAAUCCAGACAUGUCUUUGGUCAAUCAGCAGGAGCACUGAGCCAAAAGAGAUAUAGUCAACUGCUUUUGACUUUAUUUGAAAUAUUUUCUUUACCCUUCAUCCAAAGAGACUCUCUAGAGACUCCAAAAUACAUAAACUCAAAUUGUGCUGCUUGUAUUAAAGUUAAUCCAGCGAUGAAGCAGGUAGGAGAAACUUUAUUGUUAGAUAUUAGAUCAGGAAUCCAGCACUUAAUAGAAGUAAGACACACCAACAAAUAUUGAAACUUCAUUUUAAGAUUAUUUUCUGUUCUUGUUUUCUCAAGGUGAUUUUUAAAAGACCUACAAAGAUUUCUAGGGCACAGAAAGUCAGACUACAGACCUCUUUUUCAAUGUAAUCCAGCAUCAAAGCAAGCGAAACAAAAUCCCUGUGAGUCAUGUUUGAUAUUUAAAAUUCCACUCUUAAUUUCAGCUAAGCUGAGGCAUGAACUUUAAGGAAUAUUUCAACACUGAAUAUCACAAAUCCUUUGAAUUUUAACCUCAGUGACCCCCUUUAUCCCUAGAGACUUUUAAAGCAAAGUGCUUUUUGAUUGAGUCUUAAUUUUUCUUGCCUCAAAGGAAAAAUUUUUAAAACUUUACUGAAAAACUGAAUUCACGUUUUAAGAUUUUGAUGCACAAAUUCUUUCUGGAGGAUAUGUAAGAACAAGUGAAAAAAAGGUUUUAAAACACAAACACUGUGGAAAUGUAGGUGUUAUUUAAAGACACUAAAACCAAGAUCAGGUGCAUUAUAUGAAAAACGACUUUAACUUUCAAACAUUGAAAAAUACUAAUCUUUUUGUGAGUUGUUUCCUAAAAGUCUGGAUUUUCCCUACCUUAAACUUUUCAAGGCAUAUCUACGGUGGCCCUUGAGGUCAAGUGCACAACCAUUUCAUGACCACAAAAAGCAUUUCAUAGAGUUUUGAAAAACAUUCUUCACAUUUUGUGAAUUAGUUUUGCAUUUUGUUAAAUAUAUUGUCGUGUUUUGUGAAAUGUUUUCUGGUUAGUAACUUUUUGAAUUACCAUUUUUUUGUGUUUUGUAAAGCGCUUUUACUUUCUGUAAAAUAUUUUUGUUUUGUAAAUUGUUCAUGGAUUUCAUGACACAUUUUUUUGUGCUCAUGAAAUGUUUGUGAAUGUUUAACGCUUUUAAAAAGAUUUUUUAAGACCUAGUGCGCAGUUAUGUAUAUAUAUUUUAGCUAGAACUAAAACUGCAGUUAAUUAAUACCAAAAAUUAAAAAAAAUUCAACAGUCAAGCCAAUACUCAGUCAUUUUGACAGUUAAAACUUUAAAAACUAUUUUAAAGCUGUUUGAGUCUUUUUUUUUAAAACAAAAAACUCUAAAGUACAAGUUUUCAUAAAUGCCAUGAAUGUUCAGUUUUAUCUUAAAAUACAGAGAAGUUUGGCAAGUUAAUGAGUGCACAGUUUUUUGUUAAUAUGUAACUGUAUAUGUAUGCAAAUUCUUCCACAUACACUUAAUCAUUAAAAAUCUAAAGCUUAUAUAUUUCUUUGGGAUUCUCCUUUUAAAAGCUUUAAAAUCAAACUUAUUUAUCUCUAAUUUCAGGAUGGAUUAGAUUACGAUCGAUAAAAUCCUCCGAGAAAAGUUCACUUAAUAUAACUUAAAUAAUGGCAUCCGCUCAUGUCUGUUAUACCGGAGGGAUUACUUCAUCAAAAUUCAACUUCUUGAAUAUAAUUACAGAUUCUGAGAUGAUAAAAUUAACCGGCACCAAUACUUCCUCAAUUUAACUUCUGGUAUUUUAACAUCUCUUAACUCUGCAUUGGUUUUUGUCGUAAAAAUCUGUAUAAUUGAGCUAAUGCUGUGUGAAUUAUGUAAGUCUAUAAAUGAUCAUAGAUUUUUCAAGAACACUUUUUUGGGACUCUUAUCAAACCAGUGGAUCCAAAACUAUAAGAAGAAAUAUAGAAACAUGGUCAUGAUAUUCUUUAAGAGCCUGGAGACACUUCUUGUCUCCUAAAUCUGUUUGGCCUAAAGCUUGUACGAGUUACGCUCGAUCUUUAAAAGGUUUAUUUAAGAUUAUACCAUUUCUGCAAAUUUUGCAGUGCAUGCAUCCUAAAGUGAAAGGUCACAAAGAGACGAAGGACGAUACUGCGUGUAAGAGGGAAGCUUUUACUUUCUGUUGCAUGGAGAACGAAGGGUUUCUGCAUCUUUGGGUUUCAUUUAAGAUAGAUUUAUUCAGGAUCAGACCCUGUGAGAGGCUGUCUCCAGAAGGAUAAACCCUGUGACCCCACAAAGGUCAAAAGGUGAGGGAGACUCCUUCUUUCCCUCCUCUUUCUGUACUCCUCUGUUUCUCCCUCCUCUGCCGCCUCCUUUCUUCGCUUGCUGCACGUUUGCCAGGCCUUCAUAAAGCAGCUCGAGGAGGGAGUUAGCUUUCCUCGCUCGUGUUGCCAACUCUUUCCCAUCAGUCCAGCCCCCUGGAAGACUCUGCAGACUCCCCACUCUCCCUCUCUCCCUCUCUCUCCCCCGGCCUAAAGCCGAGCCUGGGGCUGGGGGACGGGGUACAGGCCGUUGUGUUCGAGGUGGGGGCUCCCUCUGGAGAAGCUCUUUGCAGGCCUGGAUUUAGUCUGCACCUCCACGACAGCCACCAAGCAACACCCAGAGGAAGCGUUUGAGAUCGGCUUACAUAUGAAGCCUGGUUCAUCUCCUGAGUUUUAAAAUGAGGAUAGAAAGAAAGUGGGAGAUGGUGGAAAAGGAGGGGGAGACACAGAAGGGGAAAGACUUUGGAGAGCGAUGAGAGGUGGCGGGGAAGACGGAGACUCCAUAACCUUGGUGUCUCUGCAGAAUCAGACACAUUGGCUUCGUCUCUUUGGUUGGACACUUUCACUCAACCGUAACGACCGAUCAGACGAACAGACCGGGCUUUAAUGGAAGCUGAAGAGCUGAGAACUGAUAUCUGAUUGGCUGUCGGCCUCGUGGAACAACUGCUUAAUUGGUGGCGAAACUGGUGGCGAGCGCUGCAUCAAGACAAGACCCUGUCUGCAAGAUGACUAACAGAUGAGAGAUCGAAAUGAUUGGUGCAGGAUUCAUGAACAAAAAUAAGGGAAGCGAUUUCUAAUGUUGGAACUUUUCAUCAGUAUCGAGGAGGGCAGGGUCCUCUGUGCAAAAGGAACAAGGACCAAAACCAACGCUGGAUGGAUCUUACGGUCAGCACUGCAUUGAAAACAGACAGGACUCUGUAGUGGAAAUCACUGAUCACUUCCAAAAACCAUCAUCUGUGUCCACAGUUCAUCACUGCAUCCACAAAUGAGGUUGAAACUGAACCAUGCAAAGAAAUAAACAGAUAUAAACAUGAUCCAGAAGCACCAGAGACUUCUCUGAGACCUGAGGAAUCAAAAUCGGACAUUCUUACUGGUAAUCAUGGUCAUUGCGUCCUCCACUCUAAAGAACAGAGGGACCAUCUGGCUUGUUAUCAGCUCACAGUCCAAAGCCAGCAUCCCUGAUGGUAUGGGGCUCAGAAGUGUCCAUGGCAUGGGAAGCUUCCACAUCUGUGAAGGAGCAACAUCUGCUGACAUCCAGACAAUGACCUUUUCAGGGAAGACCUUCAUAUUUCAGCAAGGCAGUCAGUUCAUUUACAUGACACUCGAGAAUACCGAAUUAUUGCCUUAUUCCGAUUAAGACCGAACAACUGAAGUGCACGUAAACACCUUAGUCCGACUAUAAUCGGAGUUUGAGAACUCUGAUUAAGACACCCAGAUAAUGCGAUUGGAAUUCGAUUUUCUCUACCAUGUAACCAGCGUAGACGGAGUAUGAUCGGACAAUGCAUGUGUGUACGCCACACCCUUGUAACCCCGGAACAAAAACACCAGAGAAGAGGAGUAGUGUGCAUCUCAUCUUCAGAAAAAGUAGCCCGUUCAUCAUGUACAACAAAAACGACACUGUACGAUGCUCCAUCUUCUUGCUUGGAAAUGCCCAGCAGCAGUUGUAGACACUUCUGACGUCUGGCAUGGACCUGCUGCUGUUGUUGACCGUUGUAUGGGGUCGGAUACGCGCCGCUGAAAAGACCCAUAUCACCCACAAGUUUUAGGGAGAAGGACACGUUCGCAUCAAUAAUUCGUGGACAAGGAGACAAGUCCAAUUUGGCGGAAAGAACGAAUUAUGAGCUUUGUCCGAUCAAGCUGUGCAUGUAAACGCACUGAAUGACCGACCACAUUCUGCUGGGAUUACAACAGCGUGGCUCUGUAGUAGAAAAGUCCUGCCUUAUAACUUUUUGAGCAUCAUGACACAAAAAAAAACAGGACAAAGGAGACCCUGGACCAUUAAGAACACGAGGCUUUUGUAUUUUAAUAAAUGUUAGAGUAGAUGAAUUUUCCCCAGUAUGUUAAGAACGAAAGAAAAGAUCGCUUUAGACUCUAGAUGGUGUUUCAGUGAAGGUUACAGGGACUUCAGGUCGAGGAAGGGAGUGCUGGGAAUCCUGAGGAAAGGGUGAGGAUGGGUGAUGCAGGGGGGGAGGACGGGUGAGGCCAGGCGUGCCUUCCAUUCCUGCCUGCUCGGGGUGAGGCUAUUCCUAGAGUGUGGUGGAUGGCAGUUGAUGUGGGUUUCCUCUGAGCUGCCUGGAAGAUGACUGGCCCUGACCACAUCCACAUUCACACACGCACACACGUACACACACCAGACACACAGUGACAACUGUACAGCAAACACACACAUGCAGAAACAUACACACAUUCACAUGCAUAAACACACACGUUGUAAGGAGAGGAAAGAGGAACUGAAUCAUUACGCUGCCUCAGCCUCUAAGCUGGGGGUGACCACUGUACAACUAUUUGUGUGUGUGUGUGUAUGUGUGUGUCUGCAUGUGUGUGUGUGUGUGUGUGUGUGCAAAGAUACGUUGCAUUUCUGCAGUAAAGAGACAUCAGCUCUUUGGUUGUGUGUCUGGGCUGUUUGUUGCUCAAGUAUGUGUGGGCAUGUGUGUGUGGGCGGGUGUGUAGGAUGUGUGAGCUGGGUGUGGAUGCAUUCCCUCAAUGUGUGUGUGUGUGUGUGUGUGUGUGUGUGUGUGUGUGUGUGUGUGUGUGUGUGUGUGUUUGCCUCCCUCCAUCUGUAAAGCUUAGGACUCAGUGUGUUCGGUUAUUCUCCAGAAAAAAUAAACCUGGAAAUCUUACAGUGUUCAUUAAAAUUGGCUUCCUGAAUUUUUCAAAAUCCAUAUUUUGCAUGCAAACACAUUCUGCACAAAGUCUUUGAUUCACACGCAACUGCAAACGUGACGUGCAAAGUCCUUUUGAAUCAAGACAUACAGCGUUUGCGUGAACAUAAUGAGUGACAAUUAGCUUAAAUUUCCCUGCAUGUGCUUCAUUUAGUAUUCGAGAUUGGGUUUUGGUUAUAUUUCAGUAUUUAUUUCCAUCUAUAAACCGGCAUAUGUAGAGAAGUCCUCCCUUUCUGUCCUGUAACUCACAGGCAUGUAUUUCAAAAGGCUCUGCUGGUUGGAUUCACUUGUGCAUAAACUCAAGCUGAUUGUUGCCUUCUUGAACAAAAUAGAAUAUUCAUCUUUGUGCUUUCAUCUUAUGCUCAAAAAACAGUUUUCUUGCUGAUGUUGUUGCAUAAACUUGACCAGAAAGCAUUUAGAUCCCCUUAUUUCUCUAUCCACCCUCACCUGCAUUUCUAUAGAAUCUAUGAAGGAGACUUCUCAUUUUCUAAUCACUGAUAAAUCAUCUGUAUUUCAUGUGGAAUUUAAAAAAAAAACAUAUUUUUGCAACAUAAUGGUAUUCAGAUUCACCAAAAUUAAAGCUUUAUAUCAAACCAUGUCUGAGUGGGGAUAGACUUGAGUUUGGUUUCUCAUGAGUUAUUUUUCAGUCUGUUUUAAACUCGGAUCACAAAGAGAAAAGAACGUUUUGAAUUUCCUCUGACCUCACCCUGCUAUCAUGUCGAGUCCCACUAAGCAAAGGCUUCAGUUUCGAUGGAAAAAUCAGAUGAUAAAGUGACUUCAGGUACAUCUGAGCUCUCUGGCAGCAUCACCAAAGCGUGGAAAAAAAGACAGAGAUAAGACAUGGAAGACGUUAUCAGCUUAUCUGUCGCCCUGUGAGCUUAUUCAGGCUCGCCAGUCUGGACCUGUCAAUAUCACAGUCCCUCUCGAGGUGCCGAUGACAGCUAUGACAAACAGCUGGGAAUCCUGAUUUAACCUGUAUCACGAUAACACGACAAGUUUCUGACCUCCCGUUUUCUUUCUUUAUGUUUUUCAGGUCGUCUUUUGUGCACCAGCUCUUCCACAAAUACCACCCGUGUGCUUCUAAAUCUACACCAAGCAGAGGUAAGAAGUCGUCCCUCGAUUUCUGCAGUUUUCUUUUCAUCUCUCUUCUCUGACUCCCACACCUCCACCCUCUUUGUGCAAACUGUAUUCCCUGCAGCAGAGAACAGAGCCCGAGGCAACAUCCCUUUACACCUCUUCAUAUCCCCCUUCGUUUAAAGCUUCGGCAGAGAGAGAGAAGGACUGAUGAUAACUCUUAAAGUUCACAGGUCAAAUCAGUCAAUACGCUGUCAGAGGAAAGAGGGAAAAAGCACAAGUCACACAACCUCUUCAAACCUUUUUCUCCUUUCGUUUUGUUGAUCCAAAGCUGCAUCAUGGAAGCAAACAGUGUUCCUCAGGGUUGUUAGAAAAGUAUUGAAAUUGACGCGAGUUUAAAAAAGUUCAGACAAGACAGAUGUUGAAGAAAAAUAUUUGUAUUGCAAAGCUCUUUCCACUUUUUUGAUGAGUGAAAAAGACAGAUCUUCAUUUGUGUUUCUUAUCUGCCUUUGUUAGGGGGAAACAGAUUGCGGGGCUGCAAGCUGAGCCGUUGACUGUGCACAGUGUUGGGAUUUCUCAAAUAAUUAUGUCUUUCUAAGCUUUUUCCAAAGAGCCAAAAUAUCCACAGAAGUCCUCUUCUCUCUGAGACAAAAAAAAUGAGUCAGUAAAAACCUGUUAACUACCUGAAAGAGACGGUUUACUUGAAAAUUCAGGUUUUUUUAAUGCACUUUGGUGAAGCCAGCCUGGUACAUUAACAUUAACUGCUGCUGACUUGUUUUCUAGCUAUACAAUCAGUUGAAUUAGUAAGAGAGAGUGAUUCAACAACUUUUAGUGCAUUAAGGAAAACAUUGAUUGUAAUUUUUAGUAGAAAACAAGGACUAUUUUAGCGGUAAAAUGUGAGACACGAUAGGCUGAUUUCUGAAUUUGCUGAAGUGUUGAAAUGCAUUUAAAAAACUGAUAGUCAAAGCUUUAUUCUUCACUCUUCCUUGCCAUUAAAAUCUAGUUAAACUGACAAAAUGAACAUCAGGUUUAGCCCUAGAAUAAUCAUACUCAGAUGUACUUUUUUGCCUGAACAAAACUAUUUGUUGCAUUGAAAUGUAACCCUGGAAAGGUCUGGAAUAUUGCGGUGAAAUAGGUAAAAGGUGAGAGAGAAAUAGAGACGGACAGAAAGAGCAGAGAUGGUGACAGAGAGCUGGAAUGUGAGACAGAGAGGGAGAGCGUCCAGCAGCACAUUUCCCUUAAUAAAAAGAAAUUGGAGUCAAGUGAUGAUCAGCUGGUCAGAGGACGUUUGAUCAAUACGGUCACGGGGCCUCAGGUAUGCAGAGCUCGGCGUGUGGCGUGUGACCGCAGAGAGAGGGAGAGGGAGAAGGAGGAGGGAGUCCUCCCUCUCUCACCUCCCGCUCCUCUCCUUCUGUGGUCACCUGUGCAGGUCGUCCUUUAUUGACCCGGGUCAGCUCUCCCAUUCUUGGCCUGGCUGAGAAUUGGAGCCCGCAUGGUGGUGGUCACCGCCUGUCGCGCCUCGGGGCUAAUGGGAAAGAAUGACAGGAAUCUGCAACUGAUAAUGCCACGCUAGGAGAAGUUCGUCAGCAGAUAAUCUCCCAUAUCCUUUCCUCUCCACCCUCAGGCUGCUCUUCUUCUCCUUCUUCAGAGAUACAGAAAGAAGUGUUACUUUAGAUACUUAUUUUUUUAUGCUUUGAAGAGAAGAUGUCCUGAUUUUACUUUUAUCUGCAGAGGGAAAAAAAAUUGCUGAAGUUUUGGUUGUUUUAACAAACACUACUCUCUCAGUUAGCAGCACUUUCUUUUACGUCAUUAUCACAUGAUUUUUACCAGCAAUUCUUCAAGAAAGCUGCAAGUCUUUUACUUGCACAUAUUUGUUUUAUCUGCUUGCAAAACUUUCCAAAAUUGUCAUGAAAAACCGUCAGCAACACUGUGAUUAAACGCUGCAUCAUUUUUACCCUCCCUUAAUUGACUUUUUACUUUUAUUUCGCUGUUCCUUCAUUCAUCAGCAUAUAUCUAAACAGUUUGGUGUUAUUAAUUCAGUGUCUGGUGUCUUUCAUACCUGGCCAUUUUCUGCAGUCCACAGUGACCUUCUUUAGCAUUUUUUUACCAUAUCAUCACACAGCAGGUCCUGGCAGAAAAGAGCAGCAUCUGUUUGCUGCUAAAAUCUCACUGAGGUUUAACCCUGAAAUGAGUAUUACCUUGUUAAUAAUUAAUAUCAACGGGUUUCAUCUGUAGAAUCUUAAGCAGUUGCAGUAAACCAGUAUUAAUGACAAUGACUUUUUUAAAUGAAUUAAUUCUUGAUAUAACACUAAGUGGACCUGAAUGAUGGUUUCCAGUUCAGUUCGGUAACUUAUGAUCUACUAGAAGUAGUAUAUUUCAAAAUAAAAGCACAGUUUGACAUUGCAGGAAAUAAAGAAAACUAAAUGAAACACAGAAAGAUAUAUUAACAAUUAAGCCAGACCAACUAUAAUUUUUUGAGGUCAUGUCUUCUCCAAAGAAGUUUCAGUCACAGGGCCGCUGAUGUGGAUAAAUCAUAAACUUGUACAUUGUUGUGUAAAUUACUGAUGACUGUAAGUUAAUUGUGUUUAUUACAUUUGUUUAUGAAGUGUUAUGUUGCCCCACUCUUGUCUUGCCUUUUCUCUGUAUGUCUGAUUGUGAUGUUUUUAUUCGUGUUUUCCAUAAAUACUACAACAAUGUCUUUAUUGUGACAUUUUAUGGCGAUGAUAAUCAAGAGUUAAAAAUCUGAAAUCCUGACAGCCCUCAUGUGCUCAUCAUUGAAACGAAACAGUUUGAUUUUCUGUGAAUAUUUGUCAUAUUUGUGAGGCCUGGAAGUUUCUAAAGAAUCUGAAGAAUCUGACAGUGCUCCUCUCUAAAUAUGUAAAAAUGAAAAUCUGAAAUGACCCUGCUGCCUGGAUGUAUUUAUGAGACAAACAAAGUGCUCUUGGUGGGAUUAAUGAAAUGUUCUGAUUGAUUUAUUGAAACACCUCCUUCUUCAUCUUUUCCUGCUCACCUCCCAUCAUCACUCAGGUCUUCAUAGAAAUGUUUUGUCUCUUUUCCCCUUGUUAUCCCCACUUAUCAUGUUUCUAAAGUCUUCUUUCUCUUCUCUCUCUCCUCAGAUUUGUCUCCAGGAGUUUGCUUCCCGUCCCUCUGGGCGUGACCGAAGCGUUCGCCCUUCACGCUUCACGCCUCUGUGGCUGCUGUCAGUUGCUCAGUAGGCAGUGUAGAUCCUGUGUAGCAAUCAGCAGCUACAUCUGGCUACUGGGUCUCUGACGGCUCGGCCUACUUCCUGGUUGAACCAGUCCAAACCCUGCUCCUAUUGGCUGCCGGUGCAUUCCAAUCCUGCGAUUGGCUGCGACGAGAGGGGGGCUCCAUCCUGUGACCCCACAGACAGGAUGUUCUCUGUGUCACAACUCCACAAGGGGCCCUUGUCAAGGCUUUUUUCUCCUCUUCCUCUUCCUCUUCUUCCGUCAUUCUUCUUUUAAUUCUGCCUCUCUGCCUCGUGCUCUGAGAGAUCCUCUUUGUACUAAAAACGCUGGGAACACAAACCCACAAAAGCAUAUUAGGGAUGUUUUUAGGUCUUGUGAUUAUGAUAGUGAUGUUAAAACUCAGCAUUUUAAUCAAAAUUCAAAAUCGUAUAAAUUUCUAAAAGUCUGCUGACAUAGGCGCCUAAUGAGGUGUGUUGAAGCUCAGGUACUUGUUUAAAAGAAAAGGUAAAAAUCAGACAAUCAUUAGUAAGAAACUAUUGAAUUGUUGGCAUUUGAAGCGCCUGGAAGAUACAGUCAGUUUGUGUUGAUUUUGGCGCCCCCUGUGCAAAGAGCAGCAUCUCUUUACGGAAACAGCUUUGAGCUUUAACAAUAACCACAUAAUAAGUCUGUCUUUAUGCAGAUGAUCUCAUUUGUUUUGUGGAUCACAGUGGCGUUUCAUGAGCUUCAAUUUCUCUAAAUGUUUCUGAGUUGGGUUCGAGUCAAUUCCUCCAAAUUAAAUUACUCUACGGGUUCUGUUCUUUAGUUAGUUAGGUUUUUUGUAUUAGUGCAAAAACGAUCAUAAAAAAGGAAAGAGACAUCUGCAUACAAAUUGCACAUGUAGGAUAAAAAAAAAGGGGUCUAGGUGUUCACAAAGGUCGAAAAGUUUUUAUUUAAGUGUUUCAAUUGAUGCAGACACUUCACUGUAAAAAAACGCGUAUUAUAGUCUACCUGCAGUCCCUUCAUUGUCCACCAGGAGGCUAAAUAGGAACAUUAGUCUUUUAAUUAGGCAAGUAUUCGAUUUUUCGACACUGGUGGUUUGUUUUUGACUGAUAGCUAUGAAUACUUUAUCUUCUAUCUUCUAUUUCUCCAUCAUUUUAACCUUUACAUUUCUCUUUAUCGAUUGCGAACUCACUACGUUGUCAGGUUUUCCGACACUAUUUCAAAUAAAGGAAAUCGGUCUGAUUUUUUAGGCUAACUUUGAAGGAACUUUAAAUAUCCUUGGUAAGAGAUAAUUAAAGGUGAUCAGAAAUGCCCUCGGGGAGAUGUUUGGCCAAAGGAAAAGUCUGAAUCGCUGCAUAUUUUCAGAAAUGAACCUUUGCUCUGUCCUGAACCUGGCAUACAAUGUAGAUUUCUGUGUGGUUCAAUUCUACAGCUACAUUGUCUGCUGGGUUUCUGGCUAGCAAUAUAAGCCCCCUGUUAUAUAAACCUUCCACACAGGUAAGCAUUCAUGUGUUCUGUCAAUGUGCCUCACAUACCUGACCUUGACUAUUCAAUAAAAAGGAAAUAUUUCACCUAAAUACUACUGAGUGAGUGACUGUCGUUUGUCAGACUGAAUAUCACAUUUGAAGGCAGGAAAUCUGGAAUCUGCAGAAUCUAAAUUGAUCGAGUGUUGCCUCUGCGUCCCUGGAGUUAACCCCGAGCUGGAGAUGCCAGGAAUAUUCUAGUAACUCAGCACAAAGCCAGCUCGUUGUCUGUCAGGAGGAUGUCAGACUGCUGUCAGACCAGCUCCUUAUUAGUGGGACAGAACUGUCGCAGCCAACACACACACACACAUUCACAGAUACACACACCUGGGAUUAUACCAAAACUUCAUAAAAACCAUCAAUGCCUUCAGCAGAUAUUUGGCAAUCCAUCCUCAGGGUGCAGAAGAGAAAAUCAAACAUUUCAUGGCGCUUUGCUCAGGGUUGCUCAGCAGAGAGACAUUAUCUUGAACAAUCGCACAACUUCAGGUGGCAAAUUGAAAGCCCACACCUGGGUGUUUUUCAGGUGAUUUGAAGCUUGUCUAAAAAUGAAACUCAAAUAUGUCCCCUGUUUGUAGCCGUUGUUUUUGUUAAAGGUCCUUGCAAGAUACAAAAACAAGUACACACAAACAGGACAUUGCCAGGACACUGAUGAAAAAGAGACUUUUAAUCCCAAUGAGUUAUGUGUCUCCAGGUUUAAUAAAGAAUAAAUAAAAUGAAAAUGAAAAGCGUUUAAUCCUGAGGAUACUUGGCUGAGGGACUGCUGAUGUUGGAUCAAACUCUCACACCUUCAGGGCACUGGUUGUUUAACGUGUAAUUUUCACCUGAGUGGUUUGGAACAAUUAACAUGUCAAAAAUAAAGGAACACAAAAACGUCCCCACUUUGUAGAUGUGUGACAUGACAAAAGUUCCCUGAUAGAUAAAAAAGCAAGCACACAAAAUUCACACGGAUAAAUUAUUUCAAAAUUUAACAAAAACCAUCAAUACCUUUAGUUGAUGUCUGGCAUACCAUCCUCAGUGUGCAGCAGUUGUAGACAAACACUUUAUGGACUAUGAGUUGCUUUGAGUUUUUCAUAUACCUUCUGGUUGCUGAAAGGUUUUAAAUGUAGAAUUUUAAGAGUAGUUUUGUAAUUUGUUGGAAUGAUUCAAGCACAUGCAAGAAGGUGUUUGGGAUUUCCUCCUUUAGUUACAUCUAUGUAUUCCACCAAAAUUUUAGCUGAAAGAUGUCAGUACAAAACGAAACACCCUCGGGUCUUCUGGUGGCAAAAGUGUUCAUCUCCUGGUUUCCAUGUAAUUUAAACACCUGUUGAAUCUGCAUCACAGCACUCUGUCUAUUUGGUGCAAAUGCUGCUUCUUCAAGAAAUCUUUGUUGUUAUGACGGCUUCACAGGUGACUCAAAGAUUUGUUUUUCCCUCCUCAUGAGGCAUGUUUUACAAAUUACUUUGGUGUUAUCCUCCUCUGAAACUCUAGCUGCAUUCACAUAGUGCAUUUUAUCGAGACUGUCAAAAAGCCCAGUGAAUAAAAUUGUUUGAUUUAUAAACCUUAUUCUGAAUGACCACACCAAGGGGUAAUAUCAGCCUUUUCAUAAACUGUUCAAAAUAAAUAGUUUUGGUAGAAAAACUCAACUUACUUCGUUGAAAUGUGCAGGUGUGUUACCAAGUAAAUAAUAUCAACUUUACUGAUUGGUUUUACUAAUUAAUAUUCUAUUAUCAAGUUAAUAAAUAAUAAUCAAAUAUUCUGUUUACUGAGUUGACAACCUGUCUGUCUGAAUCCACUGUGCAUCCUUUGUCCUAAGUAUUAGGCUACAUUCAUACUGCAGGUUAUGAUGCACAAUUUUGGAUUUUUUUGUUAAAUCCGAUUUUUUUUCUCUAGUCGUUCACAUUACAACAACGAAUGCGGCAUCUAAUGUGAACAGAAUGCGUCCGUGAAGUGACCUGCAUGCGCACAAAGCACAAAUUGCUUUCCGUGCCUAUUUGUGUCCCGAGUGUCUACACUGCAGUCACAUCAGAUACAUAUCCGAUUUAUAUCCACAUACAAAAGAGGCCUGUGUCGGAUCUGAAAAAAUCAGAAUUGCACUGUUCACACUAACAUGAAAAAAUCUGAUUUGUUUCACAUAUGGUCAAAAAAUCAGAAUUGACCUACAGUGUGAACAUAGCCUUAGAGGUCGAUAGAUAUAACUUUUCAGUGGCUGAUGCUGAUUCUCAUAAUACGAGAGCAGGUUUAAAUGUAAUAUGUAUUUAUAAUUAUCACAUAGUUUUGUUCUACAUUUGACAAUUGAGUAAAAAUUAACAAAUGAGAAACAGACUUACUAAACUUCGAUAAAUAUGAAAAACAAAUGGGUGGUAGGGGUAAAGCUCUGCAGUAAUUUGAUCCAUGUAUAAAACAGAUUUAUUCUUUCAUUUAAAUGACAGUGAAAAACGUCAGCAUGGCUCAUUUUUCUGCUUUCAUUUUUUGUAAUCUAUUUGUCUGCUUCAGUUUUUGGUCAUUUUUCUAAAUGUUUGUAUUUUGUAACCCUGUUUUAAGCAAGAAAUGUCAUUCAUGCAUGAUGCAAUGGUGCAUUCAUAUUAUUUCAUAUGAAAAUUAUUGGUAUAUUUCUAAACAGACUUAUUUUUUUCAAUCGGUUUUACCCCUGUAGGUGUCUUACCUAUUUGUAAUGGAAAUAUUUGAAUAAAAGUAAAAACAAAACAUUUUCCAUUCUAGUUUAUGGAUUUUUAAUGCAACAUAAUGUAUGUUGAUGGAUACAAUCUUAAGAAAAAGAUCAUUUCUACUUUAAAAUGUUUGUGCUUUCCCACUCUGCAAAAUGAUGCUAGCAUGGUGUCCUGGUUACAGCAGAUCUACGCUGGUUAAUGUGGCUUUGCAGGAUAAAAAAAGUGCCCCUCUUAGUGUAAUUAUACUGGAUUUGCAUUCAUAAUGGACUCCUCUCUACCAUCAGAACAGGUCGUACCUGUUUCAGCUCUCGAGCUGUUAAAGUUCAUCCUCUCUCAGCGGGGUGAAUCCAUCAGGACCGAGUGUGAGAAUCCCAACAAUGUGAGUGGUUGUUAAUGGGCUGUACUGGGAGGUGUGUAAGUGUGUGUGAGUGUGUGGGCGGUUAUUGUUGCUUUGAUAAGCUGUUGAUGACGCCAGCGGUGCGAGGUCUGCGUGCACAGUCAGAGUGAAAAACAACAGGACAGUAAGAGAAAAGAGGAGAGAAGUAUGAAAGAGGAGAAAUGAAGUAGAGAGAGAGAGAGACAUUUGUCGUCAUGUUUUACACACGGAGGAGGGAGGUGAAGGUGAUGUUUGGGAAGGUAGCGCCGCUGAUGUCAUCAGUACACCUCACCUCAAACAAACACUGUGACGGUCUGAUCUGCGUCACUGUGACAUGUUAUCUGAGUGACCUCUGCAGACGACUCGACCAUCAUUAGACCUGAACAUGUAAAACAACGAAAGGUUUAAACCUUCGAUAACAACAUACAGAUUUUACGUUAGCUUUGGUAGCUUUGGUAGCCCCUUACCUGUCUCUCUUUCUGAGCUGCUAGUUUUUCUCUACAUUAAAAAAAAAAGGUGUUAAAUUUUUAACACAAUUAAUUGCAACGACAUAAAUAGAAAUAUUUGGGACUUUAAUUUCUCUGCCGAAGCUUGCGAGAUUGAAGAAGUGUGUUUUUCUGUUUUUCCAGUCUGCAGAUUGAACCUCCGACCCCUCACACAUCACCUUUAAAAGCUCAGUCCUUACUCUGACUUUGUGUCACAUCCAUCAAAGUUUCUGAGUGAACGGAGAUCUGCAGCAGAUGAAACAGGAGCUGCUCCAGAAACCUUUCUCUGUCUGAUAUUUUACAGUUUCCUCUGAAUGUCAACUCCUUUCAGACCACAGAGUCUCAGUCAGGCUCUGCUUUUUUACUUGAAUGGAAUUAAACGCAAGGUUAGGAGAUUAAAAAACACAGAUCGGCUCUUGUGUUUCACUGACAGUGAUAAAACCAGACUCCGCUCAAGCUGAAAGGAUUCAUUUACUCAGAGUUGUACAGUCUCGGCUGAAUCCUGGUUCAUUUUUAAACUCCAGAUCCUCUCUAAAGUCGCUAUAGUGAAUGAGGAGUUUGUUAUUCAGUCAAGGUCAAGACUGAACCUACAGAGACUGAAUCGUUGAGAGACUGUGUGAGCUAAAAGUUCAACAGUUUCAGGAUAAAGUACCUGAAAGGAUAAGUGGAUUUCAUCAUCUUCAGAGAGUCUGGAGAAAUCUCUGUGCAAAAUAGACAAAGACCAAAACCAAUACUGGAUGGCCCUGAUCUUCAGGCAUUAGAAACAGACAGGACUUUAUAGUGGAAAUCACUGCAUGGGCUCUUCAUCACUUUCAAAAACCGUUGUCUGUGAACAGCUUUGUGUCCAAACUCUUAUUUUGGACAAUAAAAUUCUACGUAUAAAUGUUACGUGCAUUUAGACUGGUAGUCAGUCUGCCAAAACUAGAGGAAUAUUUGCUCAUCUUGUUCCACCACCAUCUUUCCUCCUGACGCAGAUGAAAAAAAGAAAGGCAUGGAGGUAAACAAACAUGACUGACCACAUCCGUGUUUAGAUCCAACAUGUUCAGAGACAACCGCUACCAGAGCUGAACAAGAACAUAUUUAAUACUUGAUGACGCAUCCUGAAUCAUGACAGUUGUGUAAAACCUUAAAUCCAAUCUGGUGACUCAACCCCCUCUUGAAAGACAAUCCAACAGAUCGAGGGGAGAGAGAGCAGUAAUCACACUGAGUCCGUCUCUGCUUUGGUUUCACCAUAUUACACCAGAAACUCAAACUGAUGGUGAGCGCGGCAAAUCCGAACACGUCUACACCUCAUAAUCUCUUACCAAACUCGCUGAGUCACUGUUUGCAGAGGAGGAUUUACCACAGAAUUUGGUGUGAAGGCGUCCCGAUGAUCUCUGACCUUUAAGCAGAUGUGGGAUGUCACGUAAUGCACGUGUACUUGGAUUUAGUCUUUAGAAAGUCUUUUAUUCAGGUCAAUACAGAAUUUCUGUUCACCAACUGUUGAUGAUUUUCACAUUGGGAUUAUUAUGGCCAAAAAUAUAAUAUUAUUGAGAUAAUUAUGACAUUUUUAGAAAGAAAAUGACACACUCUGUCAAAUCAAGAAAAAUACAAGCAACAGAUUUAUGUAAAUGUAAAUGUUCUUUAUUUUUACAUCCCUUUACAACAACCCUUUCAGUGAACCAAAGUGCUUUACAAUACAUAGAACAUUUAAAUGAAUUUAUAAAAAUAAUAAAAAGCAAUAAAAGCAAUAGAAAAAGAAUAAAAUACAAUGCAAUAAAAUGAAGUGUCACUGCGUUACAGGGUAUUAAAAGCCAGCAUAAAUAAGUACAUUAUCAAUCUGGAUUUGAAAAAGUCCAGUUCGGAAAUAAGUCUUAUUUCGUAGGGGAGCUUCUGAAAAGGCUCGGUCACCCCAGUGCUUGGUACCUCCAGCAGAAGUUGAUUCGACAACCUCAAAGCUCUAUCCGGCUACCGAGCAGUUAAAAGCUCAGUUAAAUAGAUGGGGGCGAGGCUGUUAAGAGCUUUAAAAACAAACAUUAAAAGUUUAAAAUCAAUCCUAAAAGAGACGGGAAGCCAACGAAGAGAGCUGAGGACAGGAGUGAUGUGCUCACGUUUGUUUGUUUUAGUUGGCAGCAGCAUUUUGGACGAGUUGAAGGCGACUAAGAGAUCAUUGGGAGAUGCCAACAUAAAGCGCAUUACAAUAGUCUAAUCUUGACCUGAUUAGAGCAUGUAUGGCUAUCUCAAGGUCAUGACGGCUUAAAAACAUUUUGACUUUGGCCAAGAGACGUAGUUGGAAGAAACUAGUCCUGACAACAUUGUCAAUUUGUUUGUCAAACUUCAGGUGUUAUGAAUAAACUUCACUAGUACCUUAUUUUUCACACUAUAAGGCGCACUUAAAUUCCUUUUGACUUGUCGGAGCACUGCAGCUACCGUAGUUUAUUAAGGUUUAUCUAGGUAUUGUCUUAGUAUGGAAACUCUGCUGUGAUAUAGUUCAAUUACAUGAUAUCAAAGACGGAUUCCAUGUUUUUUUUUAGUGUGUGCUUUUAAAUUUUGUUUCACUUUUUCCAACAUUGGUCUUCUUCAUGCCAAGAAAACCUGCGUGUUGUUUAACACUCAAAAUCCUCAAGGUAACUCUAUACUAGAAGAAAAAUCCAAUGCAACUCUUCUAAGGUAUUUGAUCAAGCAGACAAAGAUUUGCUUGUUUUAUCUUCAUAUCAAUCAUGUCAGUUUGGACUAACCCCUCCUACAUCUUUCACACACAGUCUCUGCUUCCUCUGCAGCCUGAAUGGAAUAAGUCACUCAUGCGUCCUGGUGACUAGGUCAACCUCAGCUCACUGUAACACCCUAAAAAUAGCCUCGUCUUUAUCGUUUUUUUCCUGCAGGUGACACACACACAGAGACAUACGACCACUUCAGGUGACCCUGAGGUAUUUCUGUAACGGUGAAGGGGUCAAAGGUGAAAGAUCGGCUGCAGAGUCUGGGUGUCUGCUCUCACGUCAGCCUCUAAGUUUAGCUGCACAUGCAGACAGAGACGGGGGUCGAGCACGAGAUCGGCGCUCCGGUCCGGCUGAGGCUGAUCAGCAGGAAAACCCUGACGAGGCAGAAAGAGCAGCAGCACGCUCCCCGCCGUGUCAGACUGAUGGACGGACAGGCGGCUGACCUCACGCCACCGCCGCAUGUGACAUGAGGAGCAGAGGGUGUCAGGGACGAGAAUGAGACCCCCAGGAUUUCACAAUGUGAGGAAGAUGAAGAAGAGCAGAGAUGGCAUGAUGGAAAUGAGGAGCACAUGACGGAGGGUGAAAGUGUCUCUGCUCCAUUUGUUUUCUGAGUGUACGUGUGCUGGUGAAUACUAAUCCUCAUUUACCUUUGUAAUGAGAUUAUAAACACCUGACUGCCAGCAUGUCCCACAUACUCUGCGUGUUUUUGCUGCAGUGAUCCUGAUAAUUUAUGAAAAUGAAUUCUUCACUCACUUAAAGAGGGCAUUUUUUUUGUUAGUUGCACAUCGGACUUAGAUCCAAUCUGGAUUGAUCCUGAACAGAGUUUUUUGGCUAUUUUAGUUUGGGAAAUAGUUUAAAUUUAUUUUUCUAACCAUUGAAAAAAAGGAAAAGAUCAGGUUCAUCUAAUCCUGAUCGAAGGACAAAAGGAGGGAGAGUAUCACCUGCCGAUAGUUUGACUGCAGAAUAAUAAUAAUAAUUACUGUCACUCCCAGGUAUAUUUGAGAGCAUACGAAGCAAUACUGAAGCCUCACAUUGAAAAGGAGAACACCAAUUCCUAAGAAGCAACAAAGAAAUUUGGAUAAUGAAGGUAAAGAUUCAGACUCAGUGUGCAAACCUGAUCGACAAAAUUAGAUUGUUUUUCUUCCCAAACCUGCAACAAUUUAGUCCAAACCUUUUGUGCAAAGGCUAUUACUCAUGGCUCUUUUCUUUUGUUUAUUUAAUUGUAUUUAUUACAUCCAACAUCUUCCAACAUGUCCAUGCUUGUUUGUGCAACUCCACAUCCGUAUUUACAAAAUCCACUUUAGCAAUUGAGCUUUUUAUUUUGUGAAUCGCAUUUUAUCGACAGAGAGAAGGACGAAAUUUCAAAAACUGCUUCAUUUGCUGCAAACAUUCCUCGCUACAGACCUUCUAUGCUGUGUUCAAAUGAAUCACUUGUUUAAUUGCAAGUAUUUGAACAUUUGCAUGUUUUGUUCUUGCUUUAUUUGCACAAAUAACUGGCUCCAGUUUUAUGCCAUAUCUUAUCUAUGCCAGUUAAAAAUGUAAAGAGAGGAGAUGUUUCCUUCAGUCUGUUUUCAUCAAACAAGGUUGAGGUGGACAACAGAUAAUCCAACCUCCACACUCACUUUCCUCAAAAAUAAAGUUUCUUUUUAUUCCCGUCUGCUAAAGGAAUAAGUUGUGUCAUAGAGUCGAAGGCAGCUGCAUGCCGUCAGUAUCAGUUUGUUCCCCGUUUUCCAGAUAAAUAAACCUCCACUGGUCUGUUGUUGACAAACCUAAUCAGAGGAUCUCCGUGCUGAUUGGCUAUCGCAGCAGGAGUUCAGAUUUCUCAACUCUCACGAAUAAGUAAAUGAAUCUGCAGUUGAAUGCAUCACAAAUUCACUUAGUUUGCACGUAACACGUUCAAUUCGCACCACCUGAUGAAGUUGCUUUGGCUUCUUCGUAUCAACCUCAACGUUGAGAACUUGAGUGGGAUUUAAUCUGCUUAAAUUAAAGGUUGCUUUUAUUUAUAUACAGAUAAGAACGGGUUUAAAUAUCUGUUGAAUUGUAUGUUUUGUCGUAAUAAAAUCCUUAUUUCUGUCUUUUAUGAAAAGUUCUGUACCUGUAUGAGAGGAUUUUUCAAAUUAAGUCAGUCCCUUUAGGUCUCACUUGGAGAGGGCACAAUGACUCUAUUCCAAAAUAUAACAGAUCACAAUUAAAUUUUCCAGUUUGAAUCCUAAAAGUCUUUUUGGCCGCGGCCGUCACUCUCAUGUUCCUCGGAGUGUCUUUCUUUUACCGACCGUUUGAAGCUUGAUGUGUAUCUGUUUCGUUUUUUUUUUCUGUCUGCAGACACGGGUGAGUCUGUGGGUUUCGUUCCUGCUGAGAGUGAAAGCUUCUGUCCCCCCUCGUCGCUCCCUCCUCACCCACCCCUCUCUUCACUCUCCCUUUUUCUGGCUCUGAAACGAGGAGUGAGUCCCUGUUUCAAGAGGUUUGGAAUUAGUUUGUCUCCUAGCAACAGCCGUACAAUACAACAUGGUUCUGUGAGAGACAGUGUGAGAGUGAUGUGUGUGUGAGGAGUGUGAGAACUGAUCUCCGUGUGUGUGUGUGUGUAUGUGUGUGUGUGUGUGUGCAUUAAUCAGCUGAGCACACUUUUUCCACUGUCCUACAUGUUUGUCGGUUUACUCUCAUGUGGAAACCUGUUCCACUCCACGCGUGUCACACUCUUCCUCUGUCACACACACACUGGACACACACACACACAGAUACAUUCUUCAUUCACAGCGGACAGCACUUCCUCCCUCGCUCUGAUGUUACGUAAGAAGCUGAAUGGAAACUGGUGAUAAGCUGGAGUUUUAUCACGAGGACAGAGGCAGUGACCAUGAGAGUCUGGGUGGGACAAAUUGUCUGGGAGAGGGGAGGAAAGAAGGAGAGUAUCCUCUAAACAACCGCAGAUUCCUCCCCACCUCCCACAUGGCCACCAUGAUGUCACUGACUCUCUCUUUUGGCUAAAAUAUGGGUCAAAACCACGGACUGUAAAAAAAAUGGAUGUAGAUUUCAGUAACGACUCCCAAGUUUUUUGGCGCCAUAUUGGAAAUGCUGACUCAAUACAACCUUAAGUCGAUCUAACAUGAGGCAAAGAGGUGGGGUUGAGGCCUUUAGUGUUCUCGCUACUAGCUCACCUGUAAGCCACACCCCUAUGAAGAAAAUGUCAUAGUAUAGUAUGUUAAAAAAAUGUCAUAGUACAGUAUGAUGAAAAAUUUCAAAUUUUUGUAUGUUAAAAAUGUCAUAGUAUAGUAUGAUUAAAAAAAAAUCAAAUUUCUGUAUGAAGAAUAUGUCAUAGUAAAGGUCAGUAUAGUAUGAUAAAAAUGUCAUAGUAUAGUUUGCUAAAAAUUUCAAAUUUUGGUGUGAAAAGAAAAUUUGAUUAUUAAGAAGGAAAAAAAAAUGUCAUAGUAUAGUAUGAUAAAAAAAAAAGUCAAAAUAAUGUAUGUUAAAGAUUUUAAGUUUUAGGGUGAAAAGAAAUGUAAUAUUUUGGUAUGAAAAAAAUUGUCAUUGUAUAGUAUGUUAAAAAUUCAUAUUUUAGUGUGAAUUUUUUUUUUUUAAUUGGAGUAUGAAAUAGUAUUAUAGUCAUAGUAUUGUAUGUUAAAAAUUUCAAAUGAGGCUGUGAAAAGAAAUUUAAUUAUUUAGAAGAAAAAAAAAGUCAUAGCAUAGUAUGAUGAAAAAGUCAUAGCAUAGUAUGCUAAAAAAUUCAAAUUUUUGUGCGAAAAAAAUUUCAGAUUUAAAUGUAAAAAAAAAUCUAAUUUUUGUAUAAAAAUAAAUGUCAUAGUAUAGUAUGUUAUGAAUUUCAGGAUUUUGGGUGAAAAAAAAUCAAAUUAAGUUUUUAAAAAAAUGUCAUAGUAUAGUACAUGAAAAAAUUUAUAUUUUAGUGUGAAAAAAAUCUGAUUUCUGUAUGAUAAAAAUGUCAUAGUAUAGUAUGUUAAAAUUUUUAGAUUUUAGUGUAAAAAAAAAUCCUAUUUUUGUAUAAAAAUAAAUGUCAUAGUAUGGUAUGUUAUGAAUUUCAAAAUUUAGGGUGAAAAAAAAUUUCUAAUUUAGUUUUUAAAAAAAGGUCAUAAUAUAGUACGUGAAAAACUUUAUAUUUUAGUGUGAAAAAUAAACAUAUUUAAGUAUGAAAAAAAUGUCAUAGUAUGGGUUGAUAAAAAUGUCACAGAAUAGUUCGUUAAAAAUUUUAUAUUUCAGUAUGAAAAAAUACUUUCAUGUUUGAGUAUAAAAAAUGUCAUAGUAUAGUAUGAUAAAAAUGUCAUAGUAUAGACAAGCUUGUCUAGAUGGUCUAAAAGUUGAAAAAGUUUUAAAGUUAAUAAUUAUAAUAAAUAUUUCCUGCAAAUCCAAUAGCGCUCUUUCCCGCUGCUUGCAGUGUCGACUCGAGCCCUAAUAACUUUAUGGCAAUCAUGUCUACAGAAAGACUGUUCUGUUUUUAGACUUGUUGCAUUAAGGAGGUUUCGAAGCAACAUAUGCCGCCAUCCAGACCAUGACUUUACCCCUGUCAAAUAUGGUUACUGCUAGUCCAAAAGAAGCAUCACGAGGGCAUCCAAAAUGCAGAAUUCAGGAGCUUUCAUCAUGAUGAUUUGGGAUUUUUUUACUACUAUGAAGAGUGAUUAAGUGACAAAAAUGUCUUGGCAGUCUCUCAGCUUCAAUAUGUGUCACACUCCUUCUAUCACUUUUACUUUCUUGAAGUCUAACUAUUAAAACAAGCUUUUUAUUUACUGGAGGUGAAUGGGUUAAGUUGCCAUGGCUGGGACUGUGAAAUCUGAGAAGUGACUGUGGAGGGAGAAGGAAGGGGAGAUUACUGGGGACAGAAGAAAAAGAGGAAGACCCAGAACGGUACCCUUUAACCUUCUCCUCUCUAAGCCUCCCCGCUGUUAGCCUUUCUUCUUCCCUUUCUUCCUUUUUUCCUCUUUUCUUGAUUCAUUUGUGCCAUUUAAAAGCCCCAGAUUAAACUCCAACACCUGUGACAGCUCUAUUUUUUUUUUUCUGGGGGACUCUUUUUACGGUUACACCACUCCAGACAAGGUUCUUUCCCUCCCGGUGUUAAAGCUCAGCAGUAAGCGUUUCCCACUUCCGCUGCAGAGCUGAAUCAGCCUCCAAGAAUGUGCAAACCCUGACUCACACUUCCUCCUGGAUAUGACCGAGCUUCCUCUCCUCCGCCAACUGAUUUAGCCUCCCCCUCCUCCCCCCCUCCACCCAUCUUCCUUUCACUCCCCCUGAAACCGCCCAAACUCCUUCCUCUAACAGUUGAGGUUUGAGAGUGGAAUAAAUGAGUCCUGGCUCGUUGACCGACUGCAGCAAUAAGUCACCGGUCUCAGUCAUCGAGCAUGUGACUCAUUUGACUUUAAUUUGUCGGGUCUAUAUUUAGACACUGCAGUCUGGCCUGAUGAUCAUUCAUAGCAGAGGACAGAUGGGUCUCUGUUGCAUCGCUUAAGCUGACAGCAGGUCUGCAGUUAGUGUCUCUCGGGCAGGUGAGCUGCAGGUCAAGUCUUAUUAAAACAACUUACAGACUGGUAGUCACAUCACAGGUAAAGAGACAUUUAGCCAUGCAAAAAAAAAUAGGUUUGGUUCCAGCAUCUGUAUCAGGCGCGGAAACUACAGAUACUAACAAUACCAAACUUUGCACAUCCGAUUCAUGUCCCAGUGUUGUUAUCCUCGAGUUCAGAACUUGAUCUCAAGCCUGAUUCAAGUCUUGAUUUUCACGACUUGUAAGAUGACUUCAUCUCCAGCAGUGGUAACUCAGAAAAUAUUAUAGUAUAACAAUAAGGUCAUAAGAAUAAUAAUAAUAAUAACUUUAUUGAUGCCCAAAGGGAAAUUCAAUUGUCUGUUGUCUCAUAUGUCAUUUCUCUAAAAGUCAUAGUAUAGCAUGAUAAAAAUAUCAUAGUGUAAGAUGAUAAACAUGUCAAAGUAUACAAUGAUGAAAAAUUUCAAAUAUAGUAAUAAAAGAAGUCACAGUGCAGUAUGAUAAAAAUGUAACAUAAUAAUAUAAAUAAUGUCAUAGUAUAAUAUGUUAAAAAUGUCAUGGUAUAGUACGAUCAAAAAAAAGUCAUAGUAUAGUAUGAUAAAAAUGUCAUGGUAUAAGAUGAUAAAAAUGUCAUGGUAUACUAUGAUAAAAAAUGUCAAAUUUUAGUAAUAAAAAACUGUCACGUUGUAGUAUGAUAAAAAUGUAAUAUAAUAAUAUAAAAAUGUCAUAGUAUAAUAUGUUAAAAAUGUUAUAGUAUAGUUAAGCCUGUCUAGAUGGUCUAAAAUAUGAAAAAAGGUUUAAAGUUAAUAAUAAUAAAAAUAACUUGUACUAAUAUUUCAAGAUAUUUUGGUUGAAAAACAUUUAUUUUUCUCUGUGAGUGGUGGUCUGACACUCUUUGAAUGCACUCUGCAACAGUCUGAGUCACUGUGUGGGCUUCAUUUCAGUCAGCUGUUCAAGACCCUUUUGUUUAAUCUCGCCUUUAUUUGACCUGUCUGCUUCUACAUAGUUGUUUUUAUGUUUGUUUCCUUGUUUCCUCUUCAUCUUCCAUUGAGAAGCCUGUUCUUGAAAGAUAGAUAAACUAUUUAUCCACUAAUAUUUAAAAAAAACAGAGCAAAGAUUUAUUUUGUUAUAUUUUUAUAUAUAUAAAUAUUUGCAAUCUUGACCAAGUUUGUGUGCAUAUUAUGCCUGAAAUCUACACCAUACUGAAUGACUGAGCAGGAAGUUUCUACAAACUGGUAAAUAGUGGUGAAAAUAAAAAGUAGGAAUACUAAUCCUGUAAAUUAAAUGUGCAGUUAUAUAUGAGAAAUUAAACAAUUGAAAUAUCUGCAUGUAAAUUUUUCAUUUGUAAUAUUGCUGUGAGUUAUUUGGAGCCCAAUAAGUGAGUUUAUUUGGUGCACAAUUUAUCAGUAGCCGAGUAAACUCUUCCAUAUUGCGUCACGCAUGCUUUGUAUUGUUGCGUCUUGCGUUGCACUCAGCUGUUUGCGUUGUGUUUGGCAUUUGAAGGGCAGCAUGACUGUGUUUAGCCUGGAGCAGCAGAAAACUCAUGUGCCAGGCCUGACCUUAAGAAAAUAAUGCACCGACAAUGCUCCUGACCACACCUCGCUGCAAACCAACACACCCUCCGCCGAGAACAUUUACCGACGAGGGCGGAUGAAUGAAAAGUGCGUCACUCAGGAGCCGAGAAUGACAGUUAUGUCAUGAUGAGCUUCUGUAAAAACUCUGAGACCUUCACAGUGAAAUCGAAGUCAACAUGACACUGUUUUUAGAGUUAUUCAGAUGUUUCAUUUUCAUUUUAAGAAGUCAGAAGAAUCUCCAAUCCUCUCUUACAUAAAAGCAAGAUUCUCUGCCUGUUAAGAAACUGAGGUGACGUCAGAAAAAUGUAAUAGAUCACAAUAUAUCUGAGGGACUAUAUAUGAGGGACUAUAUAUAUCAUGGUGAAAGAGCUGCACCUUGAGUGGCUGGGGGGUUCUAUACCUCGCUUUAAGGGAUAUUCUGGCGUAAAAUUAAUUUAGGGUCAAACACACUGUAACACCAAGUUAGACACCCCCUCUAGAGAUGAAUGUUGCCGACUGCUUGCUUCUCUAGUUAUACCAACUUUAGUAACGACAGCAGGAUAGCAAUACACAGCGGUCUGAGGAGCCAUAAACAAACCUCAACCAAAACGCCACUCUAUAGCCACAAAUAAUGCUCAGAACAGCACCUAACUUCAUCAACAGUACAUAUAGGGUCCCAGCCAUAGUACUAGAAACCAAACAUAUUUCUAACUUUGCCUAAUUUCUUUAGCAAAGAGACUAAACACAACUCACCUACUCUCUUCCAGCAGCCGCUUGUUUGUACGGAGACCUCAGGCCAGUCCAUUACAGACUACAGCGGGGUGACGCAGCUUAAGGAAGAACAUUUUUGAUCAUUUUUAUAUCAUUUCCUUGAAGUAAUAAUCGCCAUAUUAAUCAUUUUGCACUGCAGAUGCGGUCGUUUUUCUGCCUUAGCGUCUCGGUCUGAUUGCAUUUCCAUGAAGAAAUGAUCAUAAAUGUUCUUCCUUGAGCUGCGUCACCCUGCAACAGUCCGUAAUGGACUGGCAUGACAUCUCGCUACAAACAAGUUGUGUUGUGAGUUGUGUUUAGUCUCUUUGCUAAAGAAAUCAGGCAAAGUUAAAAAGAUAUCUGGUGGCUAGUAUUAUGGCUGGGACCCUAUAUGUACUGUUGAUGAAGUUAGGUGCUGUUCUGAGCAUUAUUUGUGGCUAUAGAGUGGCGUUUUGGUUUAGGUUUGUCUAUGGCUCCUCAGACCGCUGUGUAUUGCUAUCGUGCGGUCAUUACUGAGGUUGGUAUAACUAGAGAAGCAAGCGGUCAGCAACAUUCAUCUCUCCAGGGGGUGUCUAACUCGGUGUCACAGUGUGUUUGACCCUAAAUUAAUUUCACGCCGGAAUAUCCCUUUAAGAGCACUUUAGCAGCUCUCUGGUCUAACUUUCUUACUGUGGCCUGCUCCAGAUCUUCAUCAAGCAACCUCUUGAUUCCCUGAGUGCUUGAAAGUUCCUUAUAGGAGCUUUAAAGAAAAUUGUUGCAGUGAUAUUUAAAUGUUUUAUAUGCAGCAGCUUUAUUUCAAGACCAAAGAGGUGAAACUUAAGAUCGAAACACGAAGCGGCUGAGUGUCUGCCCCACUUUGAGUGCAGGACAGGUAUCCAGUCUGACCCUGACACCUGUCUGUGUUACCUGCUCUGUAAAGUAGGCCACUCCCUGCCUACUCGAGUGUGAAGCGGAGGUCUUUUUCUCUGAGCGCAGUGGAAAGUUUAUCUUGUGACCAAGGUGUGCUGCUGUGCUGAUUAUGCAAACAUCCCUCAGCCCGCAGGAGCCUGCACACACACACCCGCCAAAUGCAUGCAUGCAUUCACCUGACUCAGGUGUGACGUCACGUAUGACAGGUGCCUCCGUGGGUACAGCAGGACCUGAGGCUGUGUGUGUACGUGUGUGCGUGCAUAUGUGUGUAUGCAUGCUCUCUGAAUUGUUUGCAGUGUUUACACAUAACAGUUUGAUCGUUAGAGAGCGAGCCGCGCGUCAGGGGAACUGGGAAACAGCGAGCGGUGAUGUCACACAGUCAUAACCAAGGAAAAUAUUGUGCAAUACCUGCGUCACUCUGCACCGGGACAACAGCAGGUCAGAGCUGCAGCCGGCCGCUCGACCUCCAAACAACAUCUGUCAUACAGAGCCACGGGUUAGUCAAGGCCCAGUGACUUAUACUGCAGGAGGAGACGGAAAGCACCGGACUGUCCUGCACCCAGAGAUUAUCCGAUGACUGUUUGAGGCACUUCAGAUGACCAAAUAUUGUGGUAUGUUUGGAGAAGGAAGUAACACAAGCUCACAUUCAGCUGCCUUUUCCUGUUUCUAAAAGUCACACACACACACACACACACUUAAAAAGAGACAAUGAUCCAGCAAAGUCUGAGUGAAACCCUAACCCUCAGGUCUCCUCUUACAGAGUGAGGUUUGAUACCUUACAGCUCUGUUGGAAAUGAAGACUUAAAGCCCACAAUCCCCUCCUCUCGGGAUCUGAAAGAGGAGAAAUCAUGAGAUGAGUUCAUGUCAUAAAUUUGUAAUGAAAUGUGGCGUUCGGUGAUGCAAAUAAAUACGCGUUAUCAAAAUUGGCUUUCAUUUUGCAUCCUUCAAAAGAAGAGAGAAAACCUCUGAGGAAAUUAGCUUUCUUGAAUAUUAAGGUGUGCGACUCAAACCUUCUGAUUCUCCUGAAACUACUCUCUCAAACUGGUGAAAUUUGCAUUCAUUAAAAAAAUUUCAAGGCCUGUGUCCUCAGAGCUGGUGGCGCCCACUGCUUUACCUCUGCACUUGUUGCUUGGUAACCAAAUUUUCUCCUUAUUUCAGCUUUUCUUGAUAGUUAGCGUUAAUUCUGUUUCACAUAGCUCUCAAGCUUUCUUUUGUUUUUUAAGGUAUUUUAUGAUUUAAGAAAAAACAUGAAAGUAAUAAUUCUCAGAGGAUUUUGAAUAAAAGCCUGCCUCCAAUACAAGCCUGGUUCAUAUUUGUGAGUUUACAAUAUGUAAGCCAUGGUCCUCAGUCGGAAAAAGGUAGAUUGCCUUCUCCAGGUCAGAGGAGAGGUCCUGCCUCAAGUGGAGGAGUUCAAGUAUCUCGGGAACUUGUUCACGAGUGAGGGUAGGAAGGAGCAGGAGAUUGACAGGCGGAUCGGACCGGCGUCAGCAGUGAUGCGGGCGCUUAACCGAUCUGUCGUGGUGAAGAAAGAGCUGAGCCCUGAGACUCUCGAUUUACCGGUUGAUCAACGUGCCGAUCCUCAGCUAUAGUCAUGAACUUUGGGUAAUGACCGAAAGAACAAGAUUGCGUCAGGAGGAGUCAGCUGAGGUGGCUCGGGCAUCUGGUUAGGAUACCUUCUGGACGCCUCCCAUUAGAGGUGUUCCAGACAUGUCCCACCGGGAGGAGACCUCAUGGCCGGCCCAGGACCAGGCGGAGGGAUUAUGUCUCUCGCCUGGCCUGGGAGCGCCUGGGAAUCCCCCCGGAGGAGCUGGUGGAAGUGGCUGGGGUGAGGGCAGUCUGGGC